GAAAAGGGUAAUAGCAGUUAUAAAAUCUGUUUUAAAGCAAAUUCAAAUCAAGUUUCAAAUUUUAGGAGUACUUAAUUCAAUAAAAUAAGGAAUAAAUAAAGCUUUCAUUGAAACAAAACUAAGUAAAUUCAUUUAAAGCAAAAAAGGAUGGGAGCAUUACUAUGGGUUCUUAUGUUUACCCGCAGUCAGACAUCUGGGGACCUUGUUAUUUGGAGACAAGACUUGAUUGUGCCAUGUUUUCCGCAGCUAGACAUCUGUGGAUAAGAGAACCCUAAGCCUAUUUAGAAUAAAUUCUGUAAUCCAAGACUCUUCAGUUCUUUCAUUUGUGGCUAAUUAGUUAUAAAAUUUGUGAAUUUCAUGCCCCAUGCCCCUUGCAAAAUGCCAGUUGUUGAACUGAAAUAAUAAAAAAUGGAAAACAGACUUAAUGCCGAUAGCAUUUCUUAAGAAAAACUUGGGAUGUUUAUAAUUUUCUUAGAGCAUUUGCUGAACUUUCUGUGAUCGCAGUCGAGACGCGUGACCUCUACUUCCCUCAUUGCUCAGAAGUGGUUGAUCGCUUUUUGGAUUUGAACAAUCCUGCCACCCCAGAAAUGGACGACGAGAAACUUAAAGCAGACAUGCAGGAGGCAUUCUGCAAGGACGUGGCUUAUCACCGUCGUUUAGGGCUGCCAUCAUCCCGGCCGGCAUUUUACCAGUACACGGCUAGGAGCAAUCAGUCGGCAUUUUACAAGUACAUGGCUGAGAGCAAUCAGUCGGCCAAGUACGUGGCUGAGAGCAAUGGCUCAGGAAUGUCGACAUCCUCGGCAGCGCGCAAUCUAAAAGUUAUAUUUGACACCUGGAAAACUAAAGGAGUUGAGUGAGAUCGAUUGGUAUUUGUAGUUUCUUUUUUUUUUUCCUCAAGUGAUCUGGCGGCAUAAUUAAAAGUUAUAUUUGUUUGUCUUCAAAGUUAUUGUAUUGUCUCAAGUCCGGUAAGAUGCGCGAACUUAUAGCAUGGAUCCAUAUGAUCUGGACUAAACUAGUUUCUAAUAAAUAAGUAUAUUUUACAGUACUGAUUUUCCUACAGAAAUUGGUUAAGGUGACAUUAAUGUUCUUUAUGAUAGACGGAUAUACAGAUUUUUCGUCGAAAUUGAAAUUAGAAAUGGAUGGAUAUGCAGAAUUUUUUAAUAGAAUUUUUAUACAAAAAUUUGUAGCUCAUUACCCUCUAAAAGGAAAAAAAUAAAUUUUUGAUUUUAAAUAUUAAAUAUUAAAUUUAUAAUAUAAUAACUUUGUGAGUUAAGGUGCACAAUACCCAUAUAUUAAUAAUUAAGAAAAGAAAAAAAUUAAAAUUUGUAAAUUACCAAUUUUUUCUUGAAAUUUGAUAUUCUAUAUUAACGUAGGUGUUGCAUGGACUGGGUUAGUACAAUUGAAAGAAACUAACUAAAGUAAAACAAAAUAUCAUUAAAAUAUGGCAAGCUUCUCAUAUUUUUUAAGUGAAAAAGAGAAGAAAACUAAAAUUAAUUAUUUUUAUACCCAAAUUCUAGUGCUUGAAGGCCGCUGGAAUUGACCAUUGUAGUUUUGUCAUCCUCAUUAUUCACCGGCCAUCGUGGCCUUCCUCCAUUAAAAAAAUAAAUGACCAUUUUUUUGGACCACAACAUAUUAAAAAUAGUAUUGAUUAAUACUAAUAAAUCUCUUUUUUGAUUAUUUUGCAGUGUGAUAGUCGAGUGAGGGCAGUGCCCAUCGUAGCACUUGAACAUGUGGUAAAUUUAUGCCAGUCUUUGUAAAAUAAUUUUUAAAUUAUGUAUUAACCAGAUAGCUCAAUGAAAACUAUCGCUCACUAAAUUAUUACUUUAUUUUGUAUAUAUUUAUGAUAAUUGUUGAAAAGAAAAAUGUAAAGUGAGAUUAACGAACGUUUAUGAAUGUGGAAAUUAACACAACCAAGAUUUAUGAUGAAAUAAUUUUAAGUCAAAUGAGCAUAAAUUUGUAUAAAUAUUUUUUGAAUUGUCAUAUAUAUACAAGUUUGUCACUAAUAGUAAACUUAAUUAUGAGUAUUUUAAUAAUUCAAAAUUUUAUUUAACCAUCGGUGUAUAUAGUGUUUUUCAUAAUACAAAAUUAUAAAAAGUCUCAUCCUGAAUAGUAUAAUGCCAAACCUUUUCAAAAAUUUAUUCUAUUAUAGUCGUCUUAGUCAGUUAUAUUUAUUUCUAAAUUGAAGAUAAAAACAGUACUUCAUAUAUCAUCCAUUACUUCAUACAUUACUUAAAGUUUUUUUUUUUUUCAAUCAAAUUAUGAGCAAGUGAAAGGAUGCAAUAAAUUACGACUAAAAUUGUAAAAUUUACCAAUGGCUAUAUACAAAGUCUGAUUCUCAUGAGCUUAAAAGAUGGGCUUUGAAUGAUGUAUGGUUCUCAAAACUCUACUUUUAUUAAUAUGAUUGCCCUGCUUCCUUCAUGACGGGUAAUUUUUAGUUUCGUCCCCUGAAGUUUGGUUUAUCUCCAUUUUAAUAGGAAAUAUUAGCGUAUCUCCCACUUUUCUCCCCUGCCGUUUGUAUACCGUUUCAUAUUGUUAAUGGACGAAGCUACAAGUCUUCUCUUUCAUCAAAUCGAUCCAUAACAAAUACGAGUCUGCUUCACCUAACCAAAACACACACAUACUCCAUCUCUAAAUGCUUUGAAGAUAAACAAAUCAACCGUAAUCCUGCAACUUUAGCUCAGAGAAUCGGAUAAGAAAAGAACAGGUGAUGAAUCAAGGGUAAUGGCGCCGAGUGAGUGUCGCCUGCGGUCGGCGUUAGAGGCGACUGUCACUCAAUCGCGUACAAGGUUAGUCUUUGAAAAAACUCUUUGCAUGUUAGAAAUCAGUGAUUAGGCAUUAUUUUGUUAUUUAAAAAUGAAAAUGGGUUUAUUAGUUUGUCGAAGAAUCUGCUCUGUUGCCGGUGUUGUUUGUUGAUUAAAAUGAAAAUGGGUUUGUUGAUGUGUUGAAGAAGUUGCUCUCCUGCUGGUGUUUUUUUAUUAAUUAAAAUGAAAAUGGGUUUGUUAAUUUAUUGAAGCAGCUGCUGGCAUUGUUAUUGUGACUUUAUUUAUCCAAUUGAUGAGCUUAUGAGCUAAUAGUAUUGUUUGAUCAAGCUUGUGUUCUUAAUAGUGGAGUUGAUAUUCUUAAAAUGAAUUUAUGAUUAUGAGAAUAUGAAAAUUGAAUGGCAUCGUAGAGAUCUGGAUUAAUCACCAUCGUAUAUGUUUCUAAAUAAAGGAAUAAGCAGCAACCGAUUUGAAAGUUAAGACUUUAGGGAUAUGUAUGUGCAACUGAAUGAAUCAUCAGUUGCUAUCUUGUAAGUCAGUGCUAGCAUAUUACCUAAUGGCAAGUGAAGCUAUUUUAUGUGUAUUGCUGCCUAUCAAAAUGUUUAUGUUUGAAGUUUUCUCCUUUUGGGAAAUUGAAUGCUUCUGUGAGUUCUCUGGUAAGGGCUAUACAACUAUCUCUAAUAGAUUCCUUCAUGUGCAUUAAUUAGCUUAGUAGUUUAUUGACCUAUAUCCAAUGUCUAUUCUCCUUUUCUGUAGCCGUCUAGUUUUAUGAGUGUGUGAAGUGAACUUUUGUUUUAUGUUUCAGGACUUGGGAUUAGAGUGUAUAACAUUCAAUAUCUUUAUAUCAAAGAACUGAUAUAUGUCAAUGUAGUGCGAUCUGGUCUUUAUUAGCUUCUUGAUUUGCCAGGAUGUUUGACAACCAUCUUUGACCAUGAUUGCCAACAUAUAAGCUGCUACAUAGUGUCUCAGGAAUCACAGCAAAUUAUUAUCAUAAUAUGGUGAUUUUGAAUCCAAAACUUGGUAGUGUCAAGAAAAUAGACCCAUGUUUAUUUAUCUUCAUGUUUUGUAUGCGCCUGCAAUAGACUAUUAUAAGUUACUUUUAGUUUUAUCAAGUUUUUUUUUCCUUAAAUUUCAUCGAGUCUUGGAGUCUUUGUAAUAUAGAGUCUAAGUGAAGAAUACUUGGGUGAAAUCUUGUAUUCUCUCUUCCAGUAAUAUAAUCAUCCUUUGUGUUUUUAUCUUUUUAUUUUGGUAUCAGAGCAUACUUUAUUAUAGAAGGACUUAGACUCUAUAUUACAAAGACUCAGCGGUUUCUUUUAACUGAGUUAAUAGUGUUGUUAGGUUAAACUAAGUUUGGCUUCAUAAGAUUCAUAGUAGAGUGUAGAACUGGGUACAAUUUUGGGUUAGACAAGUCAAAAGUCUUCUCAAGUAAUUGUUCUGCUUACUGAUUUGGUAAUUGCAACAUUGCUAAAUAGUUCAAUUUGUCCUUUUAUUUUGUUGAAUUUAUUGUAUGUCAUAUUACUUCAUUUAAUUAUUUUCUCAGAUCUUGUAGGUGAAAAUUUCAGCUUCAAAGGCCAAGCUAAUCAUCCAGCAAUUCAGUGAAACCAAGACACAGUGGCUCAUAAAUUGUUGUUGGUGAUCCAGCCAUUCGGGUGCUUGCCAGUCCUAGACGAGAAAACUUUCAACGCGGCGCAUAAAUUGUUGUUGAUCUACUUUAUAUAUUUUGACCUUUGUGAUUUGUGAAUACAUGGUUUGAUUCCAGUGUUUACAACUUUGAUACUGUGUAUAACUUAAAAAGCAAAUGAAACAAAUAGGAAAUGUGUUUUUAUUUUUUUUAUUCUAUCUAUCUAUUUAUAUUUUGUUUGGAAAUGUAACAAUUUAUAGCUGGCAAAGUACUAGAGUUGUAUACUUGUAUUUAAUUCAUUAUUAUUAUUUUUUUAAUGAUGACUCAGUAAUGUCGUUGUCCAUGGUGUUUUGUCAUUUUGAGAGUACUUAACCCUUGGACGCUAAGGCACAUUACAGUAGCCGAAAUUUUGAGCUUUCAGUUCUUGAUUUUAGCGUGAGGGGUAUCUUUGUCGUUUCAGUUGUCAACAAACAAUUUGUUGGGGGGGGGGGGGGGGGGGUGGAGAUACGCUGAUACUUUCUAUCAUACUGGAGAUACACCUAACCUCAGGGAAGGAAACUGAAAUUUCACCUUUACGACGGGUGGACUUGGGUCAAACUUUCAUAUUCUAAUCAAGUAGGUCGAUCACGAUUCAAGCUUCAGUCAUAAGCCUUUCGUUAUGAUUGAUAUUAUUCUUUCUUGAUAGUAUCAUGGAAAAUGCAAACGAAAAGUCAGCAUCUUUGAGUUUUGUCUCAUCAUAUCCGACUUGUUGGUCUACUAAUCAAUCCACAGACCCUUGUGAUCUUGGUAAUUUGAACUUAAGGAGGCAAAGCAGCAAUCCUAAAGAGCCAUUGCUUGAUGCUGAGAUCGUUGUUGACGGCAAAUCAGUGGCAGUUAAUCGCAGCAUAUUGUCUGCACGCAGUCGUUUUUUUCAUUGGCUUUUUCAUUUGAGCAGUGAUGGUUCUGUGAGUGAGGGGAAACCCAAGUAUCUUAUGACUGAUUUGGUGCCUUAUAGGAAGGUUGGAUAUGAAGCUUUUAAUGAUAUCUUGCAUUAUCUUUACACUGGAAUGCGUAAGGCACCUCCUUCAGAAGUGUUCACGUGUGUUGAUGAUACUUGUGUUCAUCUUGUUUGCCCUCCUGCUAUUAAUUAUGUUAUUGAGUCGAUAUAUGCUUCUGCUGCUUUUAAGAUGACAGAGGUCGUUUCGGUUUAUGAGGUAGUUGCGCUUCCCCGCUACUUGUAUUGCUUAAAUUUAUGCUUAUUGGUAUAGUUUUAACAUAUGUGGGAUUGAAAUCAAUUUCAGUUGUGACUUGCAAAGAGCCAAAGAAUCUGUUGUUUUAUUUUGAAAGAGACAAAGAUGAUGAUGAUGGGCAGUGAACUCUAGGAAUCAAUGCUUGCUGACACUGACACCCAAGAAUGAUAAAAACUAACCAAAAAGGUAUAUAGAUUACAUGAGUCUGAAUUUGAUAAGUGCACCUAUCCUAUCACAAAAAGCUUUUGCGUUGAGUUUCGAACCAAGGAAAAUUGUCACUUCUGUCUGUAGGCUUCAUAGAUUUGUUCAAGCCUUCAAGGAUGUCUAGCUGUUACUUAGGGUCCAACAAUGGUGCUACAUUUCUAGUGGAUGAUAUGUUAUCUACAUCUGUAUAUUGGAACUUUGACAAACUUCGCCUUUCCUUUGUUGAUACACUCGUCUCACUUUUAUUAAAUUGCCUGAUUAUGAAAUGGUCUAUUGGAGACUAGCAAUGGAAGGUUUCUUCUGGAGAAAAUUUUACUUGCCACCAAUUUUCAUUUUGGUCGGUGUCAGUUCAUGCGCUGGCUUGAUUGUUCUGUUAUUUAGGUUGUUUUAUCCGUAUUUUCUCACUAUCUUGAUAGUUAGUUCUCUAAUGCUUUCAAGCUCAACAGCGAAUGCGAGAGAUUCUCUUUGUCCUGUCCAGGUUAUAACCUAGCAAAUCAUUAAUGCUGUAGAAUAACAUCUUGCGUAGAUGAGCUCGUGUCUCUGAACAUUGGUCCAUCGGCAUUUAGGUUCGAUAAGCAUGGCAUUGAUUUUCCCCCUCAUUGUUAUUUUCCUGCACAGAUUAUCCCCUUUAAGUAUUUGAAUUUUGAAUACAUUAUUCUGAAUCAAAACUCUAUACGUCCGUGUAGCAUUUUAUAUAUGCUUUAUGAUAUUUACCAAUAAUUACCCACUGCGAGGUAUUUGAAUUUUGAAUAUAUUAUAUAUUAUUAACUUUUGCACCCUUCUAUACAUGUAUUAGUUAAUUAUAAAGAUAUUUAUAUACUUUAUUAACUUUUGCACCCUUCUAUUUACUGAUUAUCUUUAUAAUUAACUAAUACAUGUAUCCAGGUUUCUCCUUCCAAUUGGAAUUCCUUUAUAGUGCUCUGUUAGGUGUAAUCAGAUGUAUCAAAAGAGAAAGGGUAAUUGUUAGUACAUUGAUAUCUCAACAAAAUGGUAGAACCUUUCUUUAUACCACUAAGACAUUUGUCGCAGAUAUGCCUACAUAAUCAGUGUCCUUCAAAACUUUCAAGGAGUUAGCAAUGCCUAACCCCUGAAACACUAAAUCUCACGGGAUCAACUCUUUACAUCUAGACCGAAGGUGUGACACCCAGACCCAAUUAGGGCUUAGAACACAUAUUGAAUCUGAGUGAAACUAAAUGCCUGUAAAUCCAAAUCUCCAAAAUAUCAAAAAGUCAUCUACUUUCUCUUUUCAUGUAUUUCACAAAAUUUUGAAAAAUUCAUUCUCAAUCAUAAACUAUGCACAGCUAAUUAUUCAGCAUAUCAGUAUAGAGCAAUACUUCCUCAUAAGCAAAUAAAUCUUACAAUCCUUCUUACAUGAUUUUAAAAAAAAUACUAAUAGAAGUCUUCUAGAUACAAACAUAAACAGAAUUCAACUGUUUAAAACUAUGCCAAAACACAAGCUUCAAUCAGUAAUACAUACGACUAAUUAUUAAAAACAUCUAGGCAGAAACCUUACGAAAGCUCAAUCUUUCUGAAGCAUUCUUCAAAUUAAAAAUUGCUACCAUCUGUGAAAAAUAAUUGACAAGGAGUCAGCUGUGAACUCAAUCAGUAGAAACAUUCGUAAUGAACAAAAAGAAUUCUUUGUGCAAUAUUUUCAGAAAAUUCAUUUAACCUUUCAAAUGAAACAGAGUAAUUUUUCUAACGCAGUCAGGAUUUAUAUAAAACACAAACGUUUCAGACAAAAGCUGUGCGGAAUUUAAAUUUUGCUUCUUUAAACAGAAAGUUAUAUAUUAGUUUGAUUUUAAAGGGAGGUUAUUGGGAAGUUAAAAUUGGCAGUUGUGGGAAAAGGGUAAUAGCAGUUAUAAAAUCUGUUUUAAAGCAAAUUCAAAUCAAGUUUCAAAUUUUAGGAGUACUUAAUUCAAUAAAAUAAGGAAUAAAUAAAGCUUUCAUUGAAACAAAACUAAGUAAAUUCAUUUAAAGCAAAAAAGGAUGGGAGCAUUACUAUGGGUUCUUAUGUUUACCCGCAGUCAGACAUCUGGGGACCUUGUUAUUUGGAGACAAGACUUGAUUGUGCCAUGUUUUCCGCAGCUAGACAUCUGUGGAUAAGAGAACCCUAAGCCUAUUUAGAAUAAAUUCUGUAAUCCAAGACUCUUCAGUUCUUUCAUUUGUGGCUAAUUAGUUAUAAAAUUUGUGAAUUUCAUGCCCCAUGCCCCUUGCAAAAUGCCAGUUGUUGAACUGAAAUAAUAAAAAAUGGAAAACAGACUUAAUGCCGAUAGCAUUUCUUAAGAAAAACUUGGGAUGUUUAUAAUUUUCUUAGAGCAUUUGCUGAACUUUCUGUGAUCGCAGUCGAGACGCGUGACCUCUACUUCCCUCAUUGCUCAGAAGUGGUUGAUCGCUUUUUGGAUUUGAACAAUCCUGCCACCCCAGAAAUGGACGACGAGAAACUUAAAGCAGACAUGCAGGAGGCAUUCUGCAAGGACGUGGCUUAUCACCGUCGUUUAGGGCUGCCAUCAUCCCGGCCGGCAUUUUACCAGUACACGGCUAGGAGCAAUCAGUCGGCAUUUUACAAGUACAUGGCUGAGAGCAAUCAGUCGGCCAAGUACGUGGCUGAGAGCAAUGGUUCAGGAAUGUCGACAUCCUCGGCAGCGCGCAAUCUAAAAGUUAUAUUUGACACCUGGAAAACUAAAGGAGUUGAGUGAGAUCGAUUGGUAUUUGUAGUUUCUUUUUUUUUUUCCUCAAGUGAUCUGGCAUAAUUAAAAGUUAUAUUUGUUUGUCUUAAAAGUUAUUGUAAUAUCUAAAGUCCGGUAAGAUGCGCGAACGUAUAGCAUGGAUCACAAACUCAUUUCAUAGAAUAUUUUUUUGUAUAAUUAUAUAAUUUAUAGGCUUUGCUUAAAAAAUUAAAAAAGAAUUGCAUUACAAUUGGUAUGAGGCAUGCAUGUGUGUGUCAUAUCAGUUGCUGAACAAACUUUGCCUUUUAGUUUUGUAGGCACUACCAUCUCAAAUUCUCUGUUAUCAUGAAUGAGUAUUUUUUUCUUUUUUCUUUUUUAAGAAAUCAUAAAUGAGAUUAAGAUAAUUUUUUUUAAAAAAAGAAAAAAAUGGAGAUUUCUUUUAUUUUUCCUUAAAAACUGAAGAAAAAUUUAGAUGGUAGUGUGAGACGGAGAAUUAAAGCAAUUUUACUAACAAAUGUAAUGUGUUUGGUGUCGCAAUACAAAUUAAUAAAUUAUAAUUUAUGAGACUAGUUUGCAUAAUCUUAUAUAUAAAAUUAUAUCCUCUGAAUAAAAAUCUUCUCACCUCUUUUGACUUUUCAUUUAAAUAUCCUCUCUAGAAUCUCUCUGACCAUAAACACAUUUUUACAAAACAAAACAGAAGAAAUUAUAUAUAAUUCUCACAAGGACUAUUUCAUUUGCACAUAGUACGCAAUUGGUCACUAAAGUUAUUUGAGGAGAAAAUUUACAUGAGAUGGGUACAUCCUAUUAUCAGUAUUUUAAUUUAAGUUUGAACAUACUAGAAUGGUCUCUCAUAAAUUUUUCUCCAAUUUGAGAGAUGGUGGGGAAGUGGGGUUAAAGUGCAUCUGCAUAGAAUUAAUUAUAAUUAAAUUUAUUUUUUAAAACUAUUUUAACUAGAAGUAGUAGUAAUUCUUUUUAUUAUUGUUAUUCCAAUUAUAUCAAAAUCUAGUGACUCGUGAUCAAAUUAAGUAGUUCAUUAAACUUUUUUAGGUGACGUAUGGUAUGGAGUUUUUAUAAAUCUAUAAAUAUAGUAAAAUAUUUAAUUUUGCUUGUCGUAAACUUUUAAUUUGCAUGGGUUAAAAAAGAAAAACUAGCGAAAAGUUUGUGCGCAGAGAGCCAGAGAAAACUAGCGGCCGCUGUUAAGCAAAAAGUUAAAAGUUGAACCCCAUGCAUGAAAGCUCCGAAAAUAUCGGACGUGGCGAAAACCCUAUUUUCGGAGGGACUUUUUCUCCGCCGUUUAGGGAGGCUAGAACAACCAAAAAGGCACGGUUUCGUGAUGAGGAAGUAGCUGGUGACAAUCCUAUGCAGGUUUCGUACAAAGAAACCCUGGUGAACUCUUCGCAAGCAAUGGAGAAUGGUUUUGGAGGCGGAGCAGUGGACUGGGAUUUUGAGGAAGGAGAUGUGAUCGAGAACAACGAUGGACCUAUGCCAUCAAUAGCUUUCUCGGCUAGGGUCCAUGAGAAGUUGAGUGAACCGCGGAAGAAUUCUGUCGUUGUGAAACUACUUGGCCGAACAAUAGGCUAUAGGGCUCUCUGCACAAGAUUGAAUGUAAUGUGGAAAACAACCAUGAGUUUCUCAGUGAUUGAUUUAGAGAAUAACUAUUUUUUGAUUCGCUUCCGCUCAAGUAGUGAUGUUGUUGAUGCUCUAACUAAUGGGCCUUGGCUUAUUAUGGGGCAUUACUUAACGGUACAACCAUGGACACCCAAUUUCGAUUUCACCAAAACGGCUAUUGAUCAAGUCACUGUAUGGAUUCGUUUACCUGGUCUUGCUGUCCACCUCUAUGAUCGGAAAAUGCUGCAAAAGCUUGGACAAUUGGUGGGUACGGUGAUCAAAAUUGAUGUGAAUACAGCCUCCUCUACACGGGGACGUUUUGCCCGAGUUGCAGUCACAAUCUCUUUGGCUAACCCGCUAGUGUCUCAGUUUGAACUGGAUGGGAAGGUCCAGAAGGUGGAAUAUGAGGGAUUGCCAGUGAUCUGCUUUAUGUGUGGAAGGUAUGGACAUAACAGAAAUACUUGCAAGGAAGCUGGUGCAGCGAAUGAAGCUGAAAAUGCCCCCCAGCCUACUAUGCAACGUCAGGAGGUCCCUGCUCAUCAGGAGUUUGGCUGUCAUGAUGCUAGUAUUGUAGAACCCUUUGGCACUUGGAUGAUCGUCACGAGAAAAGGCAGGAGAACUAACAAUGGCAUGGAGAAUAACAGUGAGCUAAACCGGAACCGCGAGCCUUUUGGGGCUAGCACUUCAAGAUUCCACAUUCUAGCUCAAGUCUCAGAUGAGCGUGAGGAUCAUGCCCCUGCAGUGGUUAAGGAUAUCCCCUCCACUUCACGUCAACCACUCAUGCCUACCCUGAACCCUACUUUUACCUCCCAUCAAGAGACCAUAACAAGGACCUCGGCAAGGCGUAAACCUCAUAAUAAGGCUGUGGUUACAAAACCUCGAGGUAGGAAACCGGCCACCUCAAUGAAUCCAUUCCAAAACCCCUUUCAGUCGAGUGUUUUUACCACAAGCAAGAAGGAUGUAAACUCCACACCCCAUGCAAACCUUAAUCCCACAUCAUUUGUAACUUCACAGUUUGAACCUGGUCAUCAACAAGUUUCCCACCUUGCUAACACCUUAGACCCAACGAAGCAUACUGUGGUCUUUUGCUCACCACAAACCUUUCCAUCGGGGAAUGUAAGGGAUGCGGCCAUUGAGCAUAGAGCUCGGCAGGGACCAGACCCUCAACAUACAUCUACUUGCCAGACGCUCGAAACACAUCAUGUGUUAAUGAAGUUGAGAAUGCCCAUACACACCCUGAGCAGCCUACGAGUGGAGUUGAUGAGGCUGGAAUGUUGGAUGAAGAAGAAUCAAUGGUUCAAGAAACGCUUAUGGCGUUGAUGGCUGAUAUUAAUGAUCAGCAAAACUAAGGUUUCUAUCAUCCCCUACUGAAAUUUUUUAUGUCAAUUAGCAUCAUGUAUUGGAAUGUUCAAGGGGUGGCCUUGACUACUUUUCGCCACUCUUUUAAGACUAUUGUUAAAAAUUAUAAUCCUUCUCUGGUGGUAUUGAUGGAACCUCGUAUUAGUGGGGGUAAAGCAGAUGAGUUUAUUAAGAAAAGUGGUUUUGACAACUCUCAUCGUGUGGAAGUAGUAGGCUUCUCUGGAGGAAUUUGGCUGCUCUGGCAGAAUGUUAUAGAGGUGGAGGUUCUUUUAAAUCACAAGCAAUUUAUUCAUUUCAGGAUUAGCAUGAAUAAGGUAUUUAUGUCUUGGGCAACGGCUGUCUAUGCUAGCCCAAAUCCAAUGUUGCGGAGAUAGUUAUGGAAUCAUAUGGAUAGCCUUGCUCUCUCUAUCCAAGGACCUUGGCUGAUUGGUGGGGAUUUCAAUUCUAUAUUGUACGCUUCUGAAAAACAGGGGGAGCUGCAGGGCAGUCAGGAGUGUGUGGCUUGUUUCGGCAGUGGUUUGAUGGACACCAAAUCUUUGAUUUAAAGUUCAAAGGCCCUCAAUCUACAUGGUCUCGUGGUUUUCUUUUCAAAAGGCUAGAUAAAGCCUUAUGCAAUAAUGAGUGGUUAUUAAAGUUUGCAGAUAACUCAGUUCUCCAUCUUCCGAAAGUUGCUUCGGAUCACAGACCGGUGCUAGUUCAGUUUGAGAGAGUUGUACGGAGACAUCAUGGUAAUAGGCCCUUUCGGUUUUUGGCUUAUUGGUUUACUAAUGAUCAUUUUAAUAAUUUUGUUAAGCAGACGUGGGAUCCUCAAGCUUCUUAUAGUGAUGCGGCAUCUAUUUUUGUCAAGGAGGUUCAAGUUUGGAAUCGGGAGGUUUUUGGGAAUAUUUUUCAGCGAAAACGUAUCUUAAUGGCUCGGAUUAAUGAGAUUCAAGCAACCUUGGAGAAAUCUAGUUCGAGGGGGUUAAUGCGCUUAGAGGCUUAGUUGCGGAAAGAUUUGGAGAUGGUGAUGGGGCAAGAGGACAUUCUUUGGUGGCAAAAAUCGAGAAAGGAUUGGAUUAUGCAUGGGGACAGAAAUAUUAGGUUCUUUCACCAAAAAACUAUUGUUCGCAGGCGGCGGAAUAGAAUUGAAGCCAUCCAGGACAAUUCGGGCAAUUGGUUGUACAAUGAGGAAGAAAUCCGAAAUCAUACAGUUGGGUAUUUUUCUGCCUUAUUCACAAGUGAGGCUGCAAGUCCCCAAGUUUAUCUUGUUCCGAAUUAUUUCCCAACUCUGGAUGCUUAUGAUAUCGAUUGUGUUGCCAACCCAGUUUUGGAAGCAGAAAUCAAGAAUGUCGUCUUUAGUAUGAAACCGCUAAAGGCUCCAGGUACGGAUGGGUUGCAUGCUAUUUUCUACCAGUCUCAAUGGGCAGUGGUUUGGCCUUCCUUCUGUAAGUUUAUUGCUGACAUUUUUAACUCUGGUAAGAUUCCUAAAGAGGUCAAUACUACUCUUCUGGUAUUGAUCCCUAAAGUGGAGCAUCCUACUAGCUUAAAAAUGUUCAGACCUAUCAGCUUAUGUAUAGUCGCCUAUAAAACAGUGACUAAAAUAAUUACUAACCGUUUGCAAGUCGUGCUGCCUAAAAUUAUAGGCCCUCAUCAGACGAGUUUUGUUCCUGGCCGCCACAUCAUAGAUAAUAUUGUUGUUGCCCAGGAAGUGGUCCAUACUAUGCAACGAAAAACAGGUAAGCGAGGGCUUAUGGCUAUCAAGGUAGAUCUCGAGAAGGCGUAUGAUCGGCUCAAUUGGUCUUUUAUCUUCGAUACUCUUCAGCUGACUGGCAUUCCGAUUCAAUUAUCUAGGCUCAUCAUGGAAUGUGUUACUACAGCUAAAAUGAGCAUUUUGUGGAAUGGAUAGGCUAUGGAGGAAUUUUCUCCGGGGAGAGGAAUCCGACAGGGAGAUCCCCUGUCUCCCUAUAUUUUUGUGCUUUGCAUUGAGCGGUUGAGCCAUGGUAUUUCCCAAGCUGUGAGGGAAGGCAGUUGGAAACCAAUCCGGUUGGCCAAACGGGGAACUCCCCUAACACAUUUAUUUGUUGCUGAUGACUUACUUUUAUUUGCAGAAGCCUCAAUUAAUCAAGCUUAUAUCAUUGACGCAGUUCUGGAGAAUUAUUGUCGGAGCUCUGAAACAAAGGUUAAUAAAUCAAAAACCAAAGUCUUUUUCUCUAAAAAUGUGUUAUCUAGAGAUGCCCAGCUUAUUAGUGACGCCUUGGGAUUUUCGGCUACUAAGGAUUUAGACUGUUACCUUGGCAUGCCUCUAAUCCAUUCGCGGGUGAAUAAAGCUACUUAUCAGUCCAUUCUGGAUAAGGUGGACAUGCGGCUUACUGGAUGGAAUGUGGCUAAUUUAUCCUUUGCUUGAAGAGUAACUUUGGCUCAAUCGGUGGUUCAAGCAAUGCCCAUUUAUGCAAUGCAAACAACUUUGCUUCCCCCCCGAUGCGUCAUAAAAUUGACACGACUUGUCAUCGGUUUAUUUGGGACGGGAAGUCGAAGAGGCACAAGAUGAGUAUGGUGGGCUGGGACAGAAUUUGUAUGCCAAAGAAUCAUGGGGGUCUGGGGUUUAAAAAGCUAGAUGUGUUGAACCAUGCACUGCUGAUGAAGCUGACCUGGGAAGUUGUAUCUAACUCGGACAAAUUAUGGGUGAAGGUGUUUUGUUCUAAAUAUGGGUUGGAUCCUGGAAACUUACCGCUCUCUCUCCUAGAUAAACAAUGGUCCCGUAUUUGGAUGGCUAUCAGGAAAACGUGGGCAGACACCAUGCAUGGAGCCCGCUGGUCAGUUUGUGAUGGUGUGAGAACUCGGUUUUGGCUUGACUGCUGGGUAACGAAGCAAGAACCUUUGAUAAAUUUUGCCCUCCAGCCGAUCUCUCACGAGAUUAUUAAUGCUACUGUGAGUGAGUUUAUAAACGAACACAGGGGCUGGAACUGGCUGAGAUUUGAACAUUUGCUGCCAAAUUACAUCCUCAUAUUGCAUCAGUUAGGCACUGACAAAAUUUACUGGAGUUUUGAUCCAAGAGGUGUGUUUACUGUCCGUUCAGCCUACGACUCCAUCUAUCGUCAAAACCUAGCCAUCCAAGAUGAAGCAUGGAGCUUAGCAUGGUCGUGGAAGGGACCCCAAUCUAUCCGCCUUUUUCUUUGGCAAAUUAUGCAUGGGAAGUUGAAGACUCAUGGUGAGCUGUCUCGGCGUCACAUUCCCGUGUCUAUGGCUUGUGAUAGGCGUGGGGCAUUGGUUGAGGACAUUCUACAUGCAUUGAGAGAUUGCCAUUGUAUUAAACGGGUUUGGCUGCGACUUGUUCCAGAGGGUGAUUAUCACUCUUUCUUUCACAUUAAUUUACGGGAUUGGAUUGUAGUUAAUCUUCAGAACAAGUUAAAGUUCGUUUCCCACAUUCAUUGGGAGUGUGUUUUUGGAGUGGCCGUUUGGAGAUUAUGGUUCUGGAGAAAUCAUUUCAUGGUCGAAGGAAAAUUGGUGGAUAGCUCAGCAAUUAAUAUGGAUAUUAUGGCCAGAGCAAAUGAAAUUCAUAGAGUGAAUAAUUCUCACAUGAGUCAGCAACCGAGGAGAAAAGAGAUGCUUAUCGGCUGUCAGCCUCCUCCAUGGCCUUGGUGUAAGUUAAAUACGGAUGGAUUUGUUAGAAAUUCAUGGGAUGUAGGGGCUGGUGGUGUUAUUCGUGAUUCAGUUGGUCACUGGAUUUCGGGAUUUUGUAUGAAUAUUGGGGAGUGUUCGGUGGUUAUGGCUGAGCUAUGGGGUCUAUAUCAAGGUUUAAUCCUGGCGUAGGAUGCUGGCAUAAAACGUCUUUUGGUGGAAGUGGACAGUCUGUGUGUUUCACAGAUGAUUUCUAAGCAGGUGGUCGUGCCUAAUGCUUUUUAUGCUCUAGUUGUUGCUAUCCCGAAACUUCUAAGCAGGAACUGGCAAGUUUCCCUCACUCACAUCUUUCGUGAAGCGAAUUCAACUGCGGAUUUCAUGGCUAAUAUGGCUUAUUCAGUCUCUCAUGGGUUACAUUUAUUUACUAGCCCGCCUGUGGUUAUUUAUUUAAUUAUAUUGCAAGACAUGUUUGGGGUUGCUCAACCCCGUAUUGUUCCGGUUUAGCUCGAAUUUGAGCCCAUUUUAAUCAAAAAAAGAAAAAGAAAAAAAGAAAUUGACUUAUUAAUUAAUUAACAAUUAUAGAAAGAAUAAAUAGAAAAUUAUAAUGGCGAACCUUGCUUGUUCUUUGCCUCUUGGGCUUAUGGUGUACCCUUGUCCCCCGCUGGGGGUUUCAUCCAUUCUUCUGUAUGAUUCUUACGGGGUUGCGACUCCUCGUUCGGUUGUUUUUUAGCUCUUAAUUGAGCCCCAGUUGAUCAAAAAAAAAAAAAAAAAAUUAUAGUUGCGUGAGAAAACUCUCGUGAAAAGGGCUCCGGAUUUCCUUUCCCUGGCUUCGUGCGUUUCCUUUUGCCCUUUCGAGCACGAAUUCGAAUCCAGUACUUUAUAAUAAAGAUAUAAUAUUAAAAAAUAAGAAAAAGAAUCCAAAUUUUUACUGGUAUAUAACGCAGAGCCAAAGCGAUAGCAAAACAUCAAAUUGUUUUUAUUUCAACCUUCGCGCAACUUCCGGUGACAUAAUUUUUAUCUGUUUCAGGUAUCGUUCUUGUUUUUUUGUUAUUCAUUCACAUAUCCUUCUUUUCUUUUCUUUUUUGCUGUAUUUUGUUUAUGAAACGCUCUGUUUCAGUUUUGUUUCUGGUUUUGUUUCAGUUUAACAUUAUUGGUUCGGUUCUGUUCUACGUCGUAUGUAUAUAUGUAUAUAUUUUUGGCCUCGAAUUGCUUUGAUCACCGGUUUUGUUAUUCAUUUAUCGUGAAUUUUAGAUGACUUGUUUGGCCAUGUAUUCACUUGAUUAUUACAUUCAGCUGCCAUUUUCAUGGUGGGUUUGUAAGAUAGUCUCUGACUAGCAUACGACAUUGAUCAUGAAUGAUGGUUUUGUUAGAUACAUCAUACGGAUGUUAACUCGUAUUAUUGUGUACUUACUUCAUUCAAAAGAUUAGUGUUUCUCUCUCUCUCAAUUUUUUUAAGAAAAAAAAUGAAAUGCCCCUUUUCGCAUUUUAUAGGUGAAAGGAAGAAACAUAAUAUCGCAGUGUCAAGGAAGCUCAUAAUGUAUGGAAGGAUGCAGCACACGUGUGAGAUGAAUACAGUCAGCUGAAGUUAGUUAGACACGUUAAGAUCAUAUUCAAUUAGCUUCUUUAUUUUCUGUUAAGUUGUAAACAGCUGAGUAUAAAUACAAGCAUCUUGUAAUCAUUUCGUUGUUAAGAAAAAUGAAAUAAAGCAUUUGAUUCAGAAGUCUUUUACAAAUUUUCUUAGCACUUUAAAUACAUUUUCUCAGUAACCAAACAGUCUGUUCAUUCAAGCUUUUAAGCUUUCAAACAUGGUAUCAGAGCCAUACAGAGCUAGUUCCAGUAAUCAACAGUCAAGCUUUCGUAAUCAAACAACAAACAACACAAAUCAAUCUACUCAAAUCAACUUCUCCUUUACUAAUCCUAUCAAGCUAGAUCGAUCAAAUUACUUACUCUGGCGCUUUCAAGUUUUAGCCUCAAUAAGAGGCAAUCGUUUGGAAGAUUUCGUCACAGGAGCCAAAUCAGUACCUGAUAAGUGUCUUCUGUUAACUGAAGUAGAUGGAUCUACACAACAAAUUGAAAAUCCAGAAUAUCAGAUCUGGAGAUCACAGGAUCAGACACUUCUUGGCUGGCUACUGUUGUCAUUAAGUGAAGGUAUCUUAAGUCUUGUUAUCAAUUGUGAAAGUUCAUUUGAUAUAUGGAAAACUUUGGAAAAGAAAUUUGGAGUUCAAUCUGAAGCUCGAGUUCUUCAGCUCAGAUAUGAACUAAACACUCUUAAAAAGGAAGCUCUUAGUGUUUAAGAUUAUUGUAUUAAAAUGAAAGCAAUAACUGAUAAGCUAGCCAGUGCUGGUAGUUCAAUUACAGAGAAGGAUCUUAUGUUAACUAUUCUUAAUGGAUUAGGACCAGGAUUUCGUGAUAUUGCUACAUUUAUAACUGGUUCACGAAUGGAAUUUGAUGAUGCUUAUGCACUGUUACUCACUCAUGAGACUAGAUUAGAGCAGGAGAAAGGUGACAGAAGUAUGUUUAAUGCAAACUAUGCAUAUACGAAUGCAUAUUAUCCUAGAGCUUAUUUUGCACAGCCUAGAGGAAGUUUUAAACGAGGAGGUUAUUCUGGUGGUAGAACUCCUUUCUUUGGCAGAGGAAAUAUGAAUUACUCUCCAAGAAUGUUUAAUGGAGGUGUUAGAAAUGGAUAUUGCAGAGGAUUUUUUCCUGGAAAUAACUCAACUGAUUUCAAUCAUUUUUCAGCUCCUAGGAAUCCAGUACCUAGGAACUCAUCCUUUCUAGCUAGAAAUGGUGCUAAUAUGAGUGGAUCACAAGGAAGCUUUAAUAAUGCUAGGGAGCUGGUAUGUCAGAUUUGCUUUAAGAAUGGUCAUACUGCUGAUGUCUGUUGGCACAGAUUUGUUGAAGACUUUGUACCUAUUCCAAGAGGUUUUGGCAGGGGAAAAACACCAAGAGCAGCAUAUUUCUCAAACUUUGAUGGCCCUACUUCUAAUCCAGAUUUUGGCUAUGAAAAUAAUAAUAUGUUUCCAGGUUAUGAUUCUAUAUCUGGCAAUAGUUACUAUUCUGGAAUGGAUGGAUACACUUCUGGAGCAGUUGGAACAGCUUUCAUGGCUAAUUUUGAAGGAACUGCUGAUGAUAGAUGGUAUCUGGAUAGUGUGGCAACUCACCAUUUAACCAACAAUAUGGAGAAUUUGCAGAUCAAUGAAGAGUUUAAAGGUACUGAUCAGCUUAUCAUUGGAAAUGGUCAAGGUUUGUCUAUUACUCAUGUUGGACAUGCAUUUCUGGUAUUAAGAGCUUCUAAAUCUUUAUCUAUACAUGCUAGAAUAACACUUAAAGAUGUGUUAUUUGUUCCUUCAAUUACCAAAAAUCUAUUAAGUAUUUCCAAACUCACAUCUGAUAAUCUUGUAUCUGUUGAAUUCUGUGGAAAUGUUUGUUUUGUAAAGGACAUGAAGGGUCAAGUUCUUCUGCAGGGUAUUGCUGAAAAAUGCCUUUACAAGCUGCUGCUGAAAUCUAAUUCUCUUUCUUCAUCACCUACAUCUUAUCUUUGUAAAUCCCAGCCAAAUAAACCAGUUUCUAUGUUAUCUGCUUUCAAACACUGUGAUAAUGGUACUCGAGCUUGCUAUCAAUCUGUUUUAAAUAAGUGUAAUGUCAAACCUGAUAUGAUAACUUUGUUACAUAGAAAGUUUGGUCAUCCAAGCUCAAUGACAUUGGUGCAUUUGCUCAAAUCAUGUAAACAGUUUAAAGUCUCUCCAAAAGACAUGUUAUCUUCUGCAAACACUUUAUGUGAAGCAUGUCAGCUAGGCAAAGUCCAUAAGCAACAUUUCUCAAUAACUGAAACAAAAACAAAAGGGGUAUUAGAAUUGAUUCAUACUGAUCUUUGGGGGCCUUCACCCACUGUGUCUAGAGAUGGAUACAAAUACUACAUUAGUUUUGUGGAUGAUUAUACUAGGUAUUCUUGGAUCUAUCCUCUUAAGCUCAAAUCACAAGCAUUUGAAGUUUUUAAAUUGUUCAAAACUCAAGUUGAGAAUCAGUUUGAUACCAAAAUUAAGAAGCUACAAUCUGACCUUGGGGGAGAGUUUAGAGCAUUUACUGAUUUUCUGAAUCAAAAUGGAAUAAUGUUUAGACACUCAUGUCCUUACACUCAUCACCAAAAUGGUUUUGUUGAGAGGAAACACAGGCAUAUAGUUGAGCUAGGCUUAACCCUCAUGGCUCAAGCAAACCUUCCUCUUCAAUUCUGGUGGGAACCUAUUCAUACAGUAGUGUAUCAUAUUAAUAGAUUGCCUACCCCUGUUCUGAAAUUCUUAUCUCUUUAUGAGAAACUUUUCAAACACAAACUAGAUUACACAUUCCUGAAGUGUUUUGGUUGUCUUUGCUACCCAUACUUGAGAGAUUUUAACAAACAUAAGUUUGAUUUUCACACCUCUAAAUGCAUUUUUAUUGGAUACAAUCCCUCUUAUAAAGGAUACAAGUGCUUAGCAAGUUCUGGCAAAGUCUAUGUUCUUAGACAUGUCAUUUUUGAUGAAAACACAUUCCCUUAUCCAAUAAACACUACAUCUCACACAUCAGAAAACUCCAUAUCUUCUGAAACCUCAGUGUCUAAUUUCUCUCAACAACAUAUCUAUCAUCUUUCUACAAUGGCCUUACCCAACAGCAGCUUUGAAGGUCUUCAAUCAGCAGGCUCAGCAAGAAGUGAACAAAUGUCCUCUGUUCCCACACAUACAGAUAUUCUGAAUCAACAAGAACAUCCAUCACACACAUCUUUAGAGUUAUCAUCCUCAACCUCACCAUCACCAAACACAUUACCAGUACAAUCAUCCAUUCUACAAUCAGAGGAAACUUCUAUUCCACAGAACAUAGACCAAAUUCAAACCAGAAAUCAUUCCCAACCAUCUUCUCAUCCAAUGAUUACCAGAUCAAAAUCUGGAAUCUUCAAACCAAAGGUCUAUACAGUCACCUUAGCCAACAAAGAACCUAGUACAGUUCAAGAAGCUCUUAGUAGUCAGAAUUGGCAUCAAGCCAUGGUAGAUGAGUAUGCAGCUUUGAUAAAGAAUGAGACUUGGUCACUGGUACCAUUUUCAAAUGCAUACAAAGUAGUUGACAAUAAAUGGGUGUUUAGACUUAAGCAAAAUACUGAUGGAAGCAUAGUUAAACACAAGGCCAGGUUGGUUGCCAAAGGUUUUCAGCAAACUGAAGGUGUGGAUUACUUUGAGACCUUUAGCCCAGUUGUAAAAGCUUCAACAGUAAGGAUUGUUCUGAGUUUAGCUGUGAUGCAUAAAUGGAAAAUAAGGCAAGUGGAUGUGAAUAAUGCAUUCUUGAAUGGAGACUUGACAGAGGAUGUCUAUAUGUAUCAGCCUGAAGGUUUUAUUGAUCAACAAAAACCCAAUCAUAUAUGUAAGCUGAAGAAGGCCUUGUAUGGCUUGAAGCAAGCUCCUAGAGCUUGGUAUGACAAGCUUAAGAAUUGUCUUAUUGCUAAUUGGAAAUUUCAGAAUUCAAAGGCUGAUACCUCUCUCUUCUUCAAAGAAGUGCAGGGUUCAAUGAUACUUAUCUUAAUCUAUGUUGAUGACAUUCUAAUAACAGGACCUGAUAAUGGUGAGCUGGAAAAAUUCAUCUCAGAAUUCAGUAAGACUUUUUCCUUAAAAGACUUAGGGAAUUCUGUCAUAUUUUCUGGGGAUAGAAGUUUCCUAUGCUGAAGACUGCAUCUAUUUAUCUCAGAAGAAAUAUAUCUUGGAUUUGUUAUCCAAAGCUGAUAUGCAAAAUUGUAAAGGCUGUGACACUCCCAUAGUUACUGGAACAAAGCUUCAGAAAGAAGUCAAAGGCUGUUUGGGUCAAUAUAUUGAGGAUGCAACAAGCUAUAGAAGCUUAGUUGGAGGUUUACAAUAUCUGGUAUUAACCAGACCAAAGAUAGCAUUUGCUGUGCAUAAGUUGAGCCAGUAUGUGACAGCUCCAACACUCCAGCAUGUUAUGGCUUGUAAAAGAGUUCUUAGAUACCUUAAGGAAACUGCAGAUCAUGGUUUGAAGUUUUCAGCAGGUGGAGAAAUGAAGAUCACAGGAUUUACAGAUGCAGAUUGGGCAUGUGAUGUUGAUGACAGAAAAUCAAUAGGAGCAUAUUGCAUUUAUUUUUGGAAACAAUCUAAUUUCAUGGUCAUCCAAGAAGCAGGCUAUGGUUACACGAUCCAGUGCAGAGAGUGAAUAUCGUGCUCUGGCUUCUGCAAGUGCAGAGAUAACAUGGAUCCAGUCAUUAUUCAGUGAACUCAACAUUAAGUGUACUUCAUUACCAACUAUCUGGUGUGAUAAUAUAAGUGCAACAGAGUUGGCCAAGAAUCCAGUUUAUCAUUCAAGGACAAAACACAUUGAACUGGAUAUGCACUUUAUUAGAGACAAAGUUUUGGCAAAGGAGUUGGAGAUUAACUAUAUUCCCAGCGAGGAGCAAAUUGCUGAUGCUUUGACAAAGCCUCUGACAUUCAUUCAUUUCAAUUAUUUCAGAGACAAACUCAAUGUGCAACCAUGCCCCUUGAGUUUGAGGGGGGCUGUCAAGGAAGCUCAUAAUGUAUGGAAGGAUGCAGCACACGUGUGAGAUGAAUACAGUCAGCUGAAGUUAGUUAGACACGUUAAGAUCAUAUUCAGUUAACUUCUUUAUUUUCUGUUAAGCUGUAAACAGCUGAGUAUAAAUACAAGCAUCUUGUAAUCAUUUCGUUGUUAAGAAAAAUGAAAUAAAGCAUUUGAUUCAGAAGUCUUUUACAAAUUUUCUUAGCACUUUAAAUACAUUUUCUCAGUAACCAAACAGUCUGUUCAUUCAAGCUUUUAAGCUUUCAAACACGCAGAACUAGAAUAAAGGAGCCUAUUCUGGUACCUAUUGUCCAAGAAAGCUUCUGUAUAUUCAGUAGGAACUACCAUGGAAGUCAAAUCUUACCAGAGCCAGGCGGAGUCGUUGCUGAAGGAAUAUAUAUUAGCAGAUCCAUUUCUCCCGUACACUUCAAUUGUUGGUAGCAUUUUUGCUUGCACGAUGGUAUGUUUGUCAUCGUUACUGCGUGGUGGUAUUUACUAGAAAAUAUUUUGAAUGCGUAGUUUUCAUCUAAUUAGUUAUAAAUUUUAUACCCUCUGUUUUCCAUAAGAAUGUGUUCCUUUUCAGGUCUAUGAUCUUGCCCAAUUGAUUAGUGUGCUGAUAACUUUAAAUCUGAUUCCAGUUUCUCCAACAUACAGCGGGUCGAGUGGAGUAACAGGUGAUUGAAAAUUUUCAUUUAGUCCAAUUGUCAUUUCUUUCUCAAUCGGUAAAAUUUAAUCAUUUUUCUUAAAUCGACAACUUAUGCCGGGCCAUAUCAACUGUCCAUGACAUUUUUAUUACAACGAUGUCUUUGUACUUUGUGUUUUGGUCGAAUCUCAGAGUUUGUGCAUAGCACACUUGGUUCUACUGUUUGUUUGUCCCUUCAUAGACAUUUUGAUAAACUGUUAUUUUUGUUCUUUGGAAGUGAAUAUUUUCAGCAACUAGAACUCCGAAGCAUCUGGAGUGAUCCAUUUUGUCAUUCGCAAUACCUAUAAAAGAAUGUCAUAGAAAACAGUUUCCAAAGCAAGUUGCAUGUGUUUUGAAUUUGUCUUUGCAAGCCACUAAUUGCUUGGAGCGCACUGUUAGCCUGUCGUGAUCCCAUCCACUUUUUUGGAUAGACAAUUGUGCAUCCAUAUGAUCUGGACUAAACUAGUUUCUAAUAAAUAAUUGCCCAAGGAUUUAGUCUCAGUGUUACAGCCCAGUCUUUGUUGUCAAUACUCUUUCCCCUGUCGUGGAUGAGCGCCAUAACAGCUUCUUAAUGUUUUGCAGUGGCUUUUGCACGGUUGUUGUUUCCUUCUGAAGCUAGAGUAGCUACGGAUAGAGCGGAUGCAGAUGCCACCAAUUUUUAUACUGGCCUUUCAGCAUCAAAAUCAAAAGGAUCAAGUGGGAACUUAAAGGAGGUUGAUUUGAAUGAAACACCCUCCAUGCAAGCCAAGAGACUCCAAUUAAGAUUGCAAGCUCUGCUUAAAACAAGUAUUCAUAUACCUUAUUAGUUUUUGUACCUUUACAAUUUGUGAUUUUUGUAUCAAAAGAGAGAGGUUAAUUUUUAGUACAUUGAUAUCUCGACAAACUGUUAGAACCUUUGCACCACUAGAGACAUUUUCUUAGAGCAUUUACUGAACCUUCUAUGAUUGCAGUGGAGAUAGGUCGACGCUACUUCCCUCGUUGCUCAGAAGUGGUUGAUAAAUUUUAGGAUUGUGAUUGGUCCGAUGCUUCCCUCCUAGAAAAAGGGUACUCCUAAAGAGCAGAGACUCAAAAGGGCACGCUUCAUGGAACUUAAAGAAGACGUGAAGAAGGCAUUUUACAAGGACAUGGCUGAGAAAAAAUGGCUCAGGUUUGUAGUCAUCCUCGUCAUCGUCAUCUUCUCCGAAGGACGGAGUAAAGUGUAAGGGUAGGAAAAUGUGAUGCUUAUCUGCUUGUCUUUGUUAUUCAUUUACAGGCAACUAAAAGAGUUUUAGUGAGUUGGAUUGUUACUUGUAGAGAGAUACUCUUCGAGCCUAUGUUAUGGCUUAUGUUGUAUAAUAGCAGAGGAACUUCAAGCUUGCGUUGUUGUAUUUUCCCUGGUAUUUGGCAUGUGAUGCACUAAAUGACAAAGAAUUUUCUAAUUUUAGAGGGGAAAGUUAUGUCAGUUAAUUAUUUAUUUAUUUUGUCUGUUUAAUUCAGUUUACACAGCGCUUUUUUUUUUCUAAAAAAAUCUUCAUAUCUCCAUCUGCAAUUUAAGUCAUUCUUAACUUGUUUCAGGAUGGGGAACAAAAAAAAAAAAGAGAAAAUGAAAAGAAGCAUUUGUAAGUAUAUUUUACAGUACUGAUUUUCCUAUAGAAAUUGGUUAAUGUGACAUUAAUGUUCUUUGAGAUAGACGGAUAUACAGAUUUUUCGUCGAAAUUGAAAUUAGAAAUGGAUGGAUAUGCAGAAUUUUUUAAUAGAAUUUUUAUACAAAAAUUUGUAGCUCAUUACUCUCUAAAAGGAAAAAAUAAAUUUUUGAUUGUAAAUAUUAAAUUUUAAAUUUAUAAUAUAAUAACUUUGUGAGUUAAGGUGCACAAUACCCAUAUAUUAAUAAUUAAGAAAAGAAAAAAAAAUUAAAAUUUGUAAAUUACCAAUUUUUUCUUGAAAUUUGAUAUUCUAUAUUAACGUAGGUGUUGCAUGGACUGGGUUAGUACAAUUGAAAGAAACUAACUAAAGUAAAACAAAAUAUCAUUAAAAAUAUGGCAAGCUUCUCAUAUUUUUUAAGUGAAAAAGAGAAGAAAACUAAAAUUAGUUAUUUUUAUACCCAAAUUCUAGUGCUUGAAGGCCGCUGGAAUUGACCAUUGCAGUUUUGUCAUCCUCAUUAUUCACCGGCCAUCGUGGCCUUCCUCCAUUAAAAAAAUAAAUGAUCAUUUUUUUGGACCACGACAUAUUAAAAAUAGUAUUGAUUAAUACUAAUAAAUCUCUUUUUUUAUUAUUUUGCAGUGCAAUAGUCCAGUGAGGGCAGUGCCCAUCGUAGCACUUGAACAUGUGGUAAAUUUCUGCCAGUCUUUGUAAAAUAAUUUUUAAAUUAUGUAUUAACCAGAUAGCUCAAUGAAAACUAUCGUUCACUAAAUCAUUACUUUAUUUUGUAUAUAUUUAUGGUAAUUGUUGAAAAGAAAAAUGUAAAGUGAGAUUAAUGAACGUUUAUGAAUGUGGAAAUUAACACAACCAGGAUUUAUGAUAAAAUAAUUUUAAGUCAAAUGAGCAUAAAUUUGUAUAAAUAUUUUUUGAAUUGUCAUAUAUAUACAAGUUUGUCACUAAUUCCUUACCUAAAUCAUGUACUAAGCAAACAGCAAAUAAGAUCGAAAAUCUUGUUGAAUAUUCCUAUGUUCCCGAGUCCGCCCAGAUCACUGAAUCUUCUUUACCUCUUAUCAGUCCAUACCAUCUGUAUAAAAAAACCAUCUUCUUUUACUAAAACCAUCAAAACCCUGAUUUCUACCAAACGCCCCUCUCCUAAAGAGUAUAUCCAGUCAUCUAAACUAGAUCAGUGUGCUUUAAUGGCUACUGCAGCUGAACAAUAUGUGACACUUGAGAUACCCCCAGAAGUAAUCUCUACAUGGAAAAGAAAAGGCUAUACACAUCUUCAUCUUGCAGGUGUUCGCCUUAUCCUUACUCUCAAUGGGAGAAAGGGUCUACCCGUCACAGCCCGAAUUGCUUUGCUUGACACCAGGUUUAAGCAAUAUCAGCAUGCCAUUAUUGGCACAGUUCUUACUACUCUCUCUGCCGGAAAUGUUUUGCUUACAUUCUAUCCUAAUUUCAAUCUUUCUCUUCUUGACUCUAAUCUUUUCAAAGUAGGUUUUAAUGGUGUUCAAAAACAUAACAUCACAUUAAGGAAUCAUUCUUUUAUUGUUAUCCCCAAAAAAAGUUCACCUUCACCAACCCCCUCAUUUACCCUUCUUCUCAGCUAUCCUUUGGCGUAUCUCCAUUUUAAUAGGAAGUAUUAGCAUAUCUCCCACUUUUCUCCCCUGCCGUUUGUAUACCGUUUCAUAUUGUUAAUGGACGAAGCUACAAGUCUUCUCUUUCAUCAAAUCGAUCCAUAACAAAUACGAGUCUGCUUCACCUAACCAAAACACACACAUACUCCAUCUCUAAAUGCUUUGAAGAUAAACAAAUCAACGGUAAUCCUGCAACUUUAGCUCAGAGAAUCGGAUAAGAAAAGAACAGGCGAUGAAUCAAGGGUAAUGGCGCCGAGUGAGUGUCGCCUGCGGUCGGCGUUAGAGGCGACUGUCACUCAAUCGCGUACAAGGUUAGUCUUUGAAAAAACUCUUUGCACGUUAGAAAUCAGUGAUUGGGCAUUAUUUUGUUAUUUAAAAUGAAAAUGGGUUUGUUGAUGUGUUGAAGAAGUUUCUCUACUGCUGGUGUUUUUUUAUUAAUUAAAAUGAAAAUGGGUUUGUUAAUUUAUUGAAGCAGCUGCUGGCAUUGUUAUUGUGACUUUAUUUAUCCAAUUGAUGAGCUUAUGAGCUAAUAGUAUUGUUUGAUCAAGCUUGUGUUCUUAAUAGUGGAGUUGAUAUUCUUAAAAUGAAUUUAUGAUUAUGAGAAUAUGAAAAUUGAAUGGCAUCGUAGAGAUCUGGAUUAAUCACCAUCGUAUAUGUUUCUAAAUAAAGGAAUAAGCAGCAACCGAUUUGAAAGUUAAGACUUUAGGGAUAUGUAUGUGCAACUGAAUGAAUCAUCAGUUGCUAUCUUGUAAGUCAGUGCUAGCAUAUUACCUAAUGGCAAGUGAAGCUAUUUUAUGUGUAUUGCUGCCUAUCAAAAUGUUUAUGUUUGAAGUUUUCUCCUUUUGGGAAAUUGAAUGCUUCUGUGAGUUCUCUGGUAAGGGCUAUACAACUAUCUCUAAUAGAUUCCUUCAUGUGCAUUAAUUAGCUUAGUAGUUUAUUGACCUAUAUCCAAUGUCUAUUCUCCUUUUCUGUAGCCGUCUAGUUUUAUGAGUGUGUGAAGUGAACUUUUGUUUUAUGUUUCAGGACUUGGGAUUAGAGUGUAUAACAUUCAAUAUCUUUAUAUCAAAGAACUGAUAUAUGUCAAUGUAGUGCGAUCUGGUCUUUAUUAGCUUCUUGAUUUGCCAGGAUGUUUGACAACCAUCUUUGACCAUGAUUGCCAACAUAUAAGCUGCUACAUAGUGUCUCAGGAAUCACAGCAAAUUAUUAUCAUAAUAUGGUGAUUUUGAAUCCAAAACUUGGUAGUGUCAAGAAAAUAGACCCAUGUUUAUUUAUCUUCAUGUUUUGUAUGCGCCUGCAAUAGACUAUUAUAAGUUACUUUUAGUUUUGUCAAUUUUUUUUCCCUUAAAUGUCAGUUAUUUCAGCGGUUUCUUUUAACUGAGUUAAUAGUGUUGUUAGGUUAAACUAAGUUUGGCUUCAUAAGCUUCAUAGUAGAGUGUAGAAUUGGGUAUAAUUUUGGAUUAGACAAGUCAAAGGUCUUAUCAAGUAAUUGUUCUGCUUACUGAUUUGGUAAUUGCAACAUUGCUAAAUAGUUCAAUUUGUCCUUUUUAUUUUGUUGAAUUUAUUGUAUGUCAUAUUACUUAAUUUAAUUAUUUUCUCAGAUCUUGUAGGUGAAAAUUUCAGCUUCAAAGACCAAAGCUAAUCAUCCAGCAAUUCAGUGAAGAAACCAAGACACAGUGGCUCAUAAAUUGUUGUUGGUGAUCCCAGCCAUUCGGGUGCUCGCCAGUCCUAGAUGAGAAACCUUUCAACGCGGCGCAUAAAUUGUUGUAGAGCUGCUUUAUAUAUUUUGACCUUUGUGAUUUGUGAAUACAUGGUUUGAUUCCAGUGUUUACAACUUUGAAAUUCAAUUAAAAGUUGAGCUGUCAUUGAUUGAUGACAAGAUUGUGUUGUAUAACUUGAGAAGCAAAUGAAACAAACAGGAAAUAUGUUUUUUUAUUUUUUUAAUCUAUCUAUCUAUUUAUUUUUUGUUUGGAAAUGUUACAAUUUAUAGCUGGCAAAGUAAUAGAGUUGUAUACUUGUAUUUAAUUUAUUAUUAUUAUUAUUAUUUUAAUGACUCGGUAAUGUCAUUGUCCGUGGUGUUUUGUCAUUUCGAAAGUACUUAACCCUUCCACGCUAAGGCACAUUACCGCAGCCGAAACUUUGAGCUUUCAGUUCUUGAUUUUAGCGUGAGGGGUAUCUUUGUCUUUUCAGUAGUCAACACACGGUCAACAAAACAGUGUACAAACAAUCGACCUGUGAACUUGGGUCAAAGCUUUCAUCUUUAAAUCACAUAGGUAGAUCAUGAUUCAAGCUUCAGUUAUAAGCCUUUCAUUGUGAUUGAGGUAAUUGUGUUUCACUGCUAUUUGUAUUGCUUAAAUUUAUGCUUCUUGGUAUAGUUUUAACAUAUAUGGGAUUGAAAUCAAUUUCAGUUGUGAAGCAACUCCGGUGGUUCCCAAUAUUAGGCAUUGUAGUAGAUCCAAAAUUAGCUUGUUAAGAAGUGUAGAUACCGUAGAGCCCAAAACUCCGUCUUAUCUUGCAAGAGUCUGUUGUUUUAUUUUGAAAGAGACAAAAGUGAUGAUGAUGGGCAGCGAACUCUAGGAAUCAAUGCUUGCUGACACUGACCCCCAAGAAUCAAUGAGUCUGAAUUUGAUAAGUGCACCUAUCCUAUCACAAAAGCUUUUGCGUUGAGUUUCUAACCAAUUUUCAUUUGGGUAGGUGUCAGUUCAUGCUCUGGCUUGACUGUUCUGUUAUUUAGGUUGUUUUAUCCGUAUUUUCUUCACUCACUUGAUGGUUAGUUCUCUCAUGCUUUCAAGCUCUCAACAGUGAAUGCGAGAGAUUCUAUUUUUCCCGUCCAGUCUAUAACCUAGCAAAUCAUUAAUGCUGUAGAAUAGCAUCUUGUGUAGCCGAGUUUAUGUCUCUGAACAUUGGUCCAUCGGCAUUUAGGUUCAAUAAGCAUCUUGAAUUUUGAAUAUAUUAUUCUGAAUCAAAACCCUAUCUGUCCGUGUAGCAUUUUUUAUAUGCUUUACGAUGUUUACCAAUAAUUACCCACUAUGGGGUAUUUGAAUUUUGAAUAUAUUAUUCUGAAUCAAAACUCUAUCUGUCCGUGUAGCUUUGGCUUCUGAACUUGGUUGAGAAGGCUCUUGUGGAAGAUGUAAUCCCAAUUCUCGUGGCUGCCUUGCAUUGCCAACUGAACCACCUCCGUUCUUUCUGCAUCCAGAGAAUUGCAAAGUCAAAUCUUGACAAUGUUUGUCUCGAGAAAGAGCUUCCUGAUGAAGUUUCAAGUGAAAUCAAAUCACUCCGUGUCAAAUCUAACCAGGAGUCUGAAGCUAAUAUAGCAGAAGUGGAUCCUAUGCAUGCAAAAAUAGUCAGAAGAAUCCACAAGGCGCUGGACUCUGAUGACGUUGAACUGUUGAAGCUUCUUCUGGAUGUAUCUAGUGUCACUCUGGAUGAUGCUUACGCUCUGCACUAUGCUGCUGCCUACUGCAACCCUAAGGUUUUUAAGGAAGUGCUCAAUAUGGGCUCGGCUGGUCUCAAUCUUAAGGAUGCAAGAGGACAGACGGUCCUUCAUGUGGCUGCAAGGCGUAAUGAGCCAGAAGUGAUGGUGACUCUGCUGAGCAAGGGAGCAUGCGCAUCAGAAACUACAUCAGAUGGGCAAACAGCUGUAGCAAUCUGUCGGAGAAUGACAAGGCUAAAGGAUUAUCUUGAAGCUACAAAGCAGGGGCAGGGAACUAACAAAGACCGGUUAUGCAUUGAUGUCCUUGAGAGAGAGAUGAGAAGGAACUCCAUGUCUGAGAACUUGGCAAUGCCAUCAGAGGUGAUGGAUGAUCAUUUCCAAGCGAAGCUGGACUAUCUAGAAAAUACAGGUGAUAUUUCUUUACUGGUAUUAGUUCAUCACCUUCUCAGAGUUUGUGCAUAGCACACUUCUUUCUACUGUUUGUUUGUCCCUUCAUAUGGAAAAUGGAGGUGAUAUUCCUUUACUGGUAUUAGUAAAUCAUCUUCUCAAGAGUUUGUGAGUCCCUUCAUUUUAGCAUCUCAAACACACAUGGGCUCAUUGCUUGGGGCACACUGUUGGCCAGUCAUGUGAUUUGAUCCCCUUUUUUGGAAUGGAGAAUUCUGAAUCCAUCUGAUCUAGGCUUUGUGGUUUGCACUGAACUGGUUUUUGAUGAAUAAUUGUACAAGACUUUGUAAUAAAAAACUUUUUUUUUUUUCCCAAAAAGUAAUGAGCUACCAAAAAAUUUAUGCCUAUCCUGGAUGACUGCCAUAACAGCUUCUUAAUAUUUUGCAGUGGCUUUUGUACGGUUGUUUCCUUCUGAAGCGAGAGUAGCUAUGGAAAUAGCAGGUGCAGAUACCGCCACUGGCCUUUCAGCAUUAGGUCAGAAAGGACUAAGUGGGAACUCAAAGGAGAUUGAUUUGAAUGAAACGCCCUCUAUGCAAGCCAAGAGACGCCAAUUGAGACUGGUAACUCUGCUUAAAACAGGUAUUUAUAUACUUUAUUAACUUUUGCACCUUUCUAUUUACUGAUUAUCUUUAUAAUUAACUAAUACAUGUAUCCAGGUUUCUCCUUCCAAUUGGAAUUUCUUUAUAGUGCUCUGUUAGGUGUAAUCAGAUGUAUCAAAAGAGAAAGGGUAAUUGUUAGUACAUUGAUAUCUCAACAAAAUGGUAGAACCUUUCUUUAUACCAGUUAAGACAUUUGUUGCAGGUAUGCCUACAUAAUCAGUGUCCUUCAAAACUUUCAAGGAGUUAGCUAUGCCUAACCCCUGAAACACUAAAUCUCACGGGAUCAACUCUUUACCUCUAGACCGAAGGUGUGACACCCAGACCCAAUUAGGGCUUAGAACACAUAUCGAAUCUGAGUGAAACUAAAUGCCUGUAAAUCCAAAUCUCCAAAAUAUCAAAAAGUCAUCUACUUUCUCUUUUCAUGUAUUUCACAAAAUUUUGAAAAAUUCAUUCUCAAUCAUAAACUAUGCACAGCUAAUUAUUCAGCAUAUCAGUAUAGAGCAAUACUUCCUCAUAAGCAAAUAAAUCUUACAAUCCUUCUUACAUGAUUUGAAAAAAAUACUAAUAGAAGUCUUCUAGAUACAAACAUAAACAGAAUUCAACUGUUUAAAACUAUGCCAAAACACAAGCUUCAAUCAGUAAUACAUACGACUAAUUAUUAAAAACAUCUAGCCAGAAACCUUACGAAAGCUCAAUCCUUCCGAAGCAUUCUUCAAAUUAAUAAUUGCUACCAUCUGUAAAAAAUAAUUGGUAAGGAGUCAACUGUGAACUCAAUCAGUAGAAACAUUCGUAACGAACAAAAAGAAUUCUUUGUGCAAUAUUUUCAGAAAAUUCAUUUAACCUUUCAAAUGAAACAAAGUAAUUUUUCUAACGCAGUCAGGAUUUAUAUAAAACACAAACGUUUCAGACAGAAGCUAUGUGGAACGUAAAUUUUGCUUCUUUAAACAGAAAGUUAUAUAUUAGUUUGAUUUUAAAGGGAGGUUAUUGGGAAGUUAAAAUUGGCAGUUGUGGGAAAAGGGUAAUAGCAGUUAUAAAAUCUCUUUUAAAGCAAAUUCAAAUCAAGUUUCAAAUUUUAGGAGUACUUAAUUCAAUAAAAUAAGGAAUAAAUAAAGCUUUCAUUGAAACAAAACUAAGUAAAUUCAUUUAAAGCAAAAAAGGAUGGGAACAUUACAUAAGGGUUCUUAUGUUUACCCGCAGUCAGACAUCUGGGAUCUUGUUAUUUGGAGACAGGACUUGAUUGUGCCAUGUUUUCCGCAGCUAGACAUCUGUGGAUAAGAGAACCCUAAGCCUAUUGAGAAUAAAUUCCGUAAUCCAAGACUCUUCAGUUCUUUAAUUUUUGGCUAAUUAGUUAUAAAAUUUGUGAAUUUCAUGCUCCAUGCCCCUUGCAAAAUGUAUUUUAUAUCCUUAAGUUGCCAGUUGUUGAACUGAAAUAAUAAAAAAUGGAAAACAGACUUAAUGCCGAUAGCAUUUCUUAAGAAAAACUUGGGAUGUUUAUAAUUUUCUUAGAGCAUUUGCUGAACUUUCUGUGAUCGCAGUCGAGACAGGUCACCUCUACUUCCCUCAUUGCUCAGAAGUGGUUGUUGAGUUUAUUGAUUGCUAUCAUUGCUCAGAAGUGGUUGAUGAGUUUUUGUAUUGUGAUUGGUCCGAUGCUUCCCUCCUAGAAAAGGGUACUCCUGAAGAGCAGAUACUCAGAAGGGCAUACUUCAUGAAACUUAAAGAAGACAUGCAGGAGGCACUCUGCAAGGACGUGGCUUAUCACCGUCAUUCAGGGCUGCCAUCAUCCUGGUCGGCAUUUUACAAGUACUUGGUGGCUGAGAGCAAUCGUUCAGGUAUGUCGAUUGGUAUAUUUGGCACCUGGGAAACUAAAAGAAUUUAGUGAGCUCGAUUGGUAUUUGUAGUUCUUUUUCCUCUAGUGAUCUGGCAUGUAUCAAUUAGUUAAAUUAUUGUAUUUUCUCAUGUCCAGUGGGACACGCAAACGUUAGUAUGGAUCAAAAACUCAUUUCAUAUAAUAUUUUUUUGUAAAAUUAUAUAAUUUACAGGCUAUGCUCAAAAAAUUAGAGAAAAAGAAUUGUAUUACAAUUGGUAUGAGGCAUGCAUGUGUAUAUCAAUAUCAGCUGCUGAACAAACUUUGCCUUUUAAUUUUGUAGGCAUUACUAUCUCAAAUUUUCUAUUAUCAUAAAUGAGUUUUUUUUUUCUUUUUUUUAAGAAAAUCAUAAAUGAGAUUAAGAUAAUCUUUUUUUUAAAAAAAAAAAAAAGAAAACUGGAGAUUUUUUUUUCCUUAAAAAAAUGAAGAAAAGUUUAGAAAGUAUUGAGAGAUGGAGAAAUAAAGCAAUUAUAUUCAUAAAUAUAAUGUGUUUGGUGCAGUAACAGAAACUAAUAAAUUAUAAUUUAUGAGAUUAGUUUACAGACUCUUACAUAUGAAAUUAUAUCCCCUAAUUAAAAAUCUUCACACCUCUUUUUGCUUCUCAUUUAGAUGCCCUUUCUAGAACUUCUCCAACGGUAAACACAUUUUUAUUAAACAAAACAGAAAAAAUUAUAUAUAAUUGUUCAUAAGGACCAUUUCUUUUGUACAUAAUACAUAAUUGGCCAUUAAAGUUAUUUGAGAAGAAAAUUUACAUGAGAUGGGUACAUCACAUUAUCAGUAUUUUUGUCUAAUUUUGAACAUACGUUCCUUGUACGAAUUUUCCUAGAAUGGUCUCUCAUAAAUUUUUCUCCAAUUUGAGAGAUAGUGGGAAUUGGGUUAAAGUGCAUUUACAUAGAAUUAAUUUAAAAUAAAAUUUAUUUUUUAACUAUUUUAACUAAAAGUAGCACUACAAGAAAAAAGGCCUACAAUGACAGUCCCUUGUGUGACAGUUUUUUAUCUGGAGACCUACAAUGAUGGAUUUGUGUUAAAUUUUAUUUUUAUCAUGCAAUUAUGACAUAAUUGUGAUAUAAAUUUCGUCUAUCAAAAACUUAGGAUAGACUCAUGAUAGAUUUUUUAACUAUCAAGAAUUUAUGACUCAUAUUUAAUUUUGACUUCAGUUAUUCGGGUUUGACUGUAUUUUUUAAAAUUAUUUUAUUACAAAAAAUUACUAUUAAAAGGAAACGCAGUCGUUUCUUUUGCAAGCAAAACGACAACGUCUUUUUGGCAAGCAAAACGACAACGUCUCUUUGUCGAAUAUAAACUUGAUAAUUCUGAAUAAAAGUUGUGACUUUUGGGGGAAAAAAAACAUAAAAUGCAGAGUUUUAAAGAGAUAACUCAUUUUAAGUGUGAGAAAUUCACUCUCACACUCAAAACACACAAAAGACUUCGACAAAUUAAGAGAAAAUGAAGAAACCCACGACAAACCCACAACAAACCAUAAUCAUUCGAAGUCAUUCUCAUUGCCUACCAUUCUCGCCGCUAUUUUCGAUGUCGUUCGUCUGCCAUUCUCACUCAUUCGUCGUUCGAGCUCUGCCGAAACCUGCUUUUGUCAAAGAUUUCACCCUUUCGUUUGAACGCAAUUUCUACUCUGUGCUAGAGAUAUUUGAAGUCCCAGCUUCUGCCAUUGUCAUUGCUUCUGCUUCGGAUUUGUUGAUAAACCCUAACAAUUUCUAUUGUACCUAUCUAUUUCGCCAGCAAAGCCCUAACUGAAGAACUGAUUUCUUUGCACUGUGAAAUCAUCAGUUCAUUGGUAUGAAAUUCAUCAUUACCUUUAAUUUUUGUUUAUUUUUGUUGAUUUUCUGUGUUUGUAUGUUUGUAUAAAAAUGAGACUUCGAAAAAUAUUUUCAAUUUAGGAGCAUUUGUUGGGGACUUGACUUUUGAGGAAGAUACGAGUAAAUAUGUGGAAGUAUUUGUUUAAUUACUUUGAGGUCUGAUCUCUAUUGGACAUUUAGAAUAAAGAUCAAGAAAUUUAUGCCAUUUUUAAGAAAGAGUUGAUUCUUGAUAAACCAGAUUCUUGUUCUUUUUAGAAGGUUAUUUUGUGAAUUCAAUUUGUUUUUAAUUGAAUCUGUUGUUGUUUUUGGUAGCGAUGAUAUAUGGUUUGAAGAACUUAAGGAAGAGCUUGAAGAAUGCAAGAACCAUGAAGUAAGCAGAAGCUUUAAUAUUUGUUCUUUUUAUGCUAAUAUGUAGCCAAUCUUUUAGUGAUUAUAUGUUUAGUUGUUAGUUUAACCACUCAGGCAUGGUGCUACUUUUAACAUUGAUUCAUUCUUUGGGAAAUAAUCAGUUGAGAGAUUGACAUAAAGUACAAGCUUAAGAAUUCAAUUGUUGUUGUUGAUCGGUGCAUUCUUUGAACUGAAAAUUUGAAAACUUGUAAGUGAUUAGGUAGCUGUUUGUUGGAUGUUGAUUAGACCUGUAAGUGUAUAAUACUUCUUGAGCUUACAUUAAUGCAAGUUAUUCAGAUUUCUGGGUUUAGAAAUUAACUUGUUAAAUGGUUGAUGCACAAAUCAGAUGAUUACAUUAUCCAGUUCAAUUUUUUUUUUUUUUGAUAAUACAUUUAUCCAUCAAAUAGAAAGGAAUGAAAAGUGAGUUUAGAGAGUACCACUUGUCAUUGUCUUGUAGUUUGAUGUAGAAUGUGCAUAAGCUAACUGUAACAUCCCAUAUUCCUUUAACUGUGAUUUUAUUAACUCUUAAGUUUAAGCCCAAUAUUAUAUAUUUAGCCAUUUUUAAAAGCCUAUUUUCUCUAUUACUUAACUAAAUAGCUUAAACAAUAUAUUUGCUUGUCAUUCUCAUGUGUAAGAAAUGGAGGCAAAAGACAUUGCCAUUAUCCACCAUUUGAGAAAAAGAAACAGAACCUGAUACAAAGUUUAAAAACUUUUCUGAUUUCACCAAUUGAGCUUCAAUUUCUUUAGUUUCAGUGUCAAUUUGAAACAUAUCUUGCCAAGGCUUUAGAACCAUUCUUGCAUGUUAAAUUAUCCAAGCUUGGCAGCCUCAAAUCCAUCAAAAUUAUAAGUCUACCUUAAAUUGCUUUAUAUGUAUGUUAAUUUACUCUCCUUUCUAUAGUUGGUGUAAGUUUGAAGCCAUUGUGAGCUAUUCUUAUGCUAUCUCAGAACUCUUGACUCACCAUUGUAGUCCAACCACUGAUUUUUCUCCUUUUAUGAUUUAGGGAGAGUAGAACUGGUGUGGGGGAUAAAAAUCUUGUUGUUUUGAGUAGUCUUUUUGGCAGAAGACAAUGGGCUUCCUUUUGUUUUUAGGUAAAACCCCUCGAUUUCUCAAUAACUUCUUAUGACUUUGUUUAAUGGUAGUGUGAUUGAUUAUUAUUUCUUUGAUCUUUUAUGUUUUGAGUAGUCUUUUUGUCAAUUCCAAGGUUGAGGUUAAUACUUGAGAAGGUGGCAGAAAGCUUUAACAGGCUACAAAGUUAAAGCUUGUGAUUUAGGUAGGUAACUUUGGGCAACUAAUGUUCUGGUUUUGUAGUUCACUUACAUAGUGCAUAGAUACUUUUUUACAAUUCAAUUGAAAGACAACAUAUUCUAAUGAUGAAUUAGAUGAAGUUCGUAUUGAGUGGGCAAACCAUGUUUCUGAAUUACUUGCUACUAUGUGAGGUAAGCCUUACCUAUUAUGUUGUUAUAGUGAGUUCAUUGAUGAAACAAAUUAAUUUACCAAACUUUUGUUCAUUGAAAACAAACUUUGCUAGCUAUUAUUCUAUUGCUUAGUAUUCUAAUCUAUAUGAGUUGUCACGGACUUUGAAUUUGUUAUAUUUUACUUGUGCAGUUACCUAGCUUCUUACACUUGCUAUGUUGGAAUUUGAUGAAGAUGGCGGGUACUGCUGGAGUUCGCUACCUUUUUUAUUUGAUGCAAAAACAGGUCCUGAAUAUUGAGGCAACUUUGCACAUUUAGCUUCUUCUUAUAUUGGUAUUUGUUGUAUGCUUCACCAAAACUGUUAGAAUGGAUUUUCUUAGUCUGAUCAGUGUUGUUGGCUUCAUCUUGUGUUGCUGGAAAUGAACUGUGUUCUUGGCUUUCUUUGUGUUGCUCUAAAUGACUAUGUUGUUGGCUUCCUUUUGUUGCUGGAAAUGAACCGAUCAUGGUACAUUAGUCUUGUACAUGUUGCAGGAAUUUGUUUUUAUGUUGUUACAAUACUCUUCUAUUUAUGUUGGACUUGUCACUUGUAUUUGGAUAAAUUAUGUUUGUUCACAAUUAUCAAUAAUUAGCCAAUGUUAUUUAUUUUGUUUUCUUUGUCAAUGAAUUUUUAAUUGCAAUUAAUUUUAAUAAUCUAAUUAAUUAGCUAAAUUAUGAAAUAUUAAUUUCUAAAUCAAUUGUAGGAUUUUUAUUAAAAUGAUAAUAAUUUCAUGGUACAAACAAAAUAGUUAUUUUUAUUAAUUAUAAUUUCAAAUUUCCAAUUAAUUGAAAAAAAUCAAUUAAUUAUAAUUUCCAUUUUCACUGCAAAUUGAACAUUUCCUGCCAAAAUUUAAAAAAUAGCGUGCGAAAUUCAAAAAAGGCAACCCAAAUUCAAAAUUAUUAUAUUUCCCUCUAAUUAAAGUUAUGAUGGUUGUGUGACUGACUAUAUUCAUCAUAGGUUAUGAUUGGUAUUAUUCUGUCAUCAAUUCUUGACGCUGGCUAUAAUGACGGUAUGAACAACUGUCAUCCACCCCCUACUAUGACAAUUUUUGCCUGUCAUCGUAGGUACUUUUUCUUGUAGUGUAGCAGUUAUUCUUUUUAUUAGUGUUAUUCCAAUUAUAUCAAAAUCAAGUGACUGGUGAUCAAAUUAAGUAGUUCAUUAAUUUUUUUAAGCGACGUAUGGUAUGGAGUUUUUAUAAAUCUAUUUAAAUAGUAUAAUAUUUAAUUUUGCUUGUCCUAAAAUUUUAGUUUACGUGGGUUAAAAAAGAAAAAAAGAAAAAAGAAAUUGACUUAUUAAUUAAUUAACAAUUAUACAAAGAAUAAAUAGAAAGUUAUAGUUGGCAAUGGCAUUAUUUUUCUCCUUGUUAAGUUUUUCUUUCCCACAUUAUCCCCCUUGAAGCAGCAUAUUGAAGGAAAGGAGCAUUCUUAUAUAUGCUUUAUGAUGUUCUUAAUGUAUUCUAACUCAAAACUCUAUCUAUCCGUGCAGCGUCGCCUUCUGAACUUUGUUGAGAAGGCCCUUGUGGAAGAUGAAAUUCCAAUUCUUGUGGCUGCCUUCCAUUGCCAACUCAACCCGCUCCGCUCUCACCGUGUCCAGAGAGUAGUAAGGUCAAAUCUUGAUGAUGUCUGUCUCCUGAAAGAGCUUCCUGAUGAAGUUUCAUGUGAAAUCAAGUCACUCAGUGUCAAAUCUAGCCAGGAGUGUGAAGCUAAUAUAGCAGAAGUGGAUCCUAUGCAUGCAAAAAAGAGUCAGAAGAAUCCACAAGGCACUGGACUCUGAUGACGUUGAACUGUUGAAGCUUCUUCUGGAUGAAUCUAAUGUCACUUUAGAUGAUGCCUACGCUCUGCACUAUGCUGCUGCCUACUGAAACCCUAAGGUUUUUAAGGAAGUGCUCAAUAUGGGCUUGGCUGAUCUCAAUCUUAAGGAUGCAAGAGGUCAUACGGUGCUUCAUGUGGCUGCAAGGCGUAAGGAGCCAGCAGUGCUGGUGACUCUGCUAAGCAAGGGAGCAUGCGCCUCAGAAACUACAUCAGAUGGGCAAACAGCUGUAGCAAUCUGUCGGAGAAUGACAAGGCGAAAGGAUUAUAUUGAAGCUACAAAGCAGAGGCAGGAAACUAACAAAGACCGGUUAUGCAUUGAUGUCCUUGAGAGAGAAAUGAGAAGGAACUCCAUGUCUUGGAACGUGGCACUGUCACCAGAGGUGAUGGCUGAUGAUUUCCAAAUGAAGCUGAACUAUCUAGAAAAUAGAGGUGAUAUUUCUUUACUGGUAUUAGUUCAUCACCUUCUCAGAGUUUCUGCAUAGCACACUUCUUUCUACCGUUUGUUUGUCCCUUCAUCUUAGCAUCUCCGACAUUGCUGUAAACGGGAUAACCACACAGUCUACACUUGUGCUAUCAUCAAAGAAUUUUUCUUGAACUGUUAUUUUUGUUAUUUGGAAGUGAAUAUUUUCAGCAACUAGAACUCGGAAGCAUCCGGAAUGAUCCAUUUUUUUUUUUUUUUAUGUCAAAACAUGAAGUAAUUAAAGGAGGUCAAACAACAAUAAACUCAUUCAUUUUGUCCAAAAUUGAAAAAGACUACAUAGUAAUCAUAAUUGAAAACAACUAAGCACAAAAACAAAUAACAUCCUUUUUCAAAAUUAUGUUCCCAUGAAUCUUGUCUCCACACAUUAAAGAAGACUAAAUCUAUAAUUAGGUGCUGAUUCACGCCCAAAAUUACCCUUCAACUCCUUAAGCAGAGGCAGCUGCUCCCUUCUUCCUUGGUGCUGCCUGAGUACCUUCUCUGAAGCCGCUCUUGAACCUGCGAGGGACAUGGCGCAGAUACCUCAUCCUGCCGGUUCCAGUGGUCUUUCUUCGGAUUGCCUUCACACUCCAGUUAUACGUUCUCUUGCGAGCAGCGGGGUAAGCACAAGCAGCGCAACGACUCUUCUGAAGAUGGAAGCUGCGACGGCCACAUCGCACACACAAAGUGUGCGUCUUGUUUCUCCUCUUACCAAAACUCCCUGUGCCCUUACCCAUUGAAGCGUAUGCGAAGUAGAGGAAAGCCUUCUGAUGAGUUCCGGAAUGAUCCAUUUUAUCAUUCUCAAUACCUAUAAAAGAAUGUCAUAGAAAACAGUUUCCAAAGCAAGUUGCAUGUGUUUUGAAUUUGUCUUUGGAAGCCACUAAUUGCUUGGAGCACACUGUUAGCCAGUCGUGAUUCCAUCCACUUUCUUGGAUGGACAAUUGUGCAUCCAUAUGAUCUAGGCAUGUUGGUUUGGACUGAACUAGUUUUAAUAAAUAAUUGCCUUCAGGAUUUAGUCUGUGUGUUACAGUCCAGUCUUUGUUGUGAAUAGUUCUUUUUUCCCCCUCCCGAGGAAAGAAUUGAGAUAAAAAAUAAUUUAUUCCUGCCACGGAUGAGUGCCAUAACAGCUUCUUAAUGCUUUGCGGUGGCUUUUGCGCGGUUGUUGUUGCCUUCUGAAGCUAGAGUAGCUAUGGCUAUAGCAGAUGCAGAUGCCACCAAUUUUUAUGAUGGCCUUUCAGCAUCAAAAUCAAAAGGAUCAAUUGGGAACUUAAAGGAGGUUGAUUUGAAUGAAACACCCUCCAUGCAAGCCAAGAGACUCCAAUUAAGACUGCAAGCUUUGCUUAAAACAGGUAUUUAUAUACCUUAUUAGUUUUUGUAUGUUUAUAAUUACUGAUUUUUAUAUCAAAAGAGAGAGGUUAAUUUUUAGUACAUUGAUAUCUCAACAAAAUGGUAGAUCCUUUAUACCACUAAAGACAUUUUCUUAGUGCACUUACCGAGCUUUCUAUGAUUGCAGUUGAGACGGGCCGACGCUACUUCCCUCAUUGCUCAGAAGUGGUUGAUAAGUUUUUGGACUGUGAUUGGUCUGAUGCUUCCCUCCUAGAAAAUGGUGCUCCUGAAGAGCAGAGACUCAAAAGGGCACGCUUCAUGGAACUUAAAGAAGACGUACAGAAGGCAUUUUACAAGGACGUGGCUGAGAAAAAUCGUUUAGGUUUGUCGUCAUCCUCGUCGUCGUCAUCUUCUCCAAAGGAAGGAGUAAAGUGUAAGGGUAGGAAAAGGUGAUGCUUAGUUACUUGUCUUUUGUUAUUCAUUGCUAGGAGACUAAGAGAGUUUUACUGAGUUUGAUUGUUACUUGUAGAGAGAUACUCUUAGAGCCCAUGUUAUGGCUAUGUUGUAUAAUAGCAGAGGAACUUCAAGCUUGCAUUGUUGUAUUUUCCCACGUAUUUGGCAUGUAAUAUACUAAAUGACAAAGAAUUUUCUAAUUUUAGAGGGAAAAAAUAUGUCAGUUAAUUAUUUUUUUAUUUUAUCUGUUUAAUUCAGUUUAUAAUAUAGCUUUUUUUUAUAUAAAAAAAAAUCUCCAUAUCUUCAUCUGCAAACUCAGUCAUGUGCAACUUCUUUCAGGGAGAAAAGAGGGGGAAAAAAAAAGGGCAUUUGUACCUGUAUUUUACGGUACUGACCCUCAUACAGAAAUUGGUUAAGAUGACAUUAAUGCUCUUCGAAAUAAAUAGAUAUGCAGAAUUUUCAUCGAAAUUGAAAUUAGAAAUGGAUGGAUACGAAUGAUAUAUAUGCAGAACUUUUUAACAGAAUUUUUAUGCAAAAAUUUGUAGCUAAUUACUCCCCCGAAGAAAAAUAAAUUUUCAAUUGUAGAUAUUAAAUUUUAAAUUUAUAAUAUAAUAAAUGUGACUUAAGUUGCACAGCACCCAUAUAAUAAUAAUAAUUAAGAAAAGAAAAUUUAAAUUUUGUAAAUUAUCAAUUUUUUAAAAUUAAUUAUUUUUAUACUCAAAUUCUCAUGCUCGACGGCCGCUGGAAUUGGCUAUUGUAAUUUUGUCAUCCUCAUUAUUCACUAGCCAUUUUUGGACCACGACAUAAUAGAAAUAGCAUAGAUUAUACUAAUAAAUUUCCUUUAAUUAUUUUGUAGUGUGAUGAUCUAGUGAGUACCAGUGUCCAUCAUAGCACCUGAACAUGUAAAUUUCUGAUAUUUUCUGUAAAAUAGUACUUAAAUUGUGUAUUAACUAGACAGUUCUAUGUAGACCACAACUCAUUAAAUCAUUACUUUACUUUGUAUAUAUUUAUGACAAUUGAUGAAGAAAAAUAUAAAGUGAGAUUAAUGAACAUUCAUGAAUGUGGGAAAUUAACACAACUAGGAUUUAUGAUGAAAUAAUUUUAUUUCAAAUGAGUUUAAGUGAAUGGAUGUUAAAAAAACUUAUAGUAUAUAUUUUUUGAAUUGUUAUAUAUACAAGUUUGUCACUAACAGUAAAUUAAAUUAAGAAUAUUUUAAUAAUUCAAAAUCUCAUUCAACCAUCCCUGUUUAUAGUUUUAUUCGGAGUACAAAAUUGUAAACAGCCUCACCCUUAAUAGUAUAAUGCUAAACACUUUUAAAAAUUUAUUCUAUUAUAGUCGUCUUAGUCAGUUAUAUUUAUUUCCAAAUUGAAGAUAGAAAUAGUACUUUAUAUAUCGUACAUUACUUAAAGAAUUUUUUUAAAAAUCAAAUUAUGAGCUAGUGAAAGGAUGCAAUAAAUCACGUCUAAAAUUGUAAAAUUCAUCAAUCACCGAAUAAAUUAAAUAUCAUGUCUCAUGGGCUUAAAAGAUAGGCUUUUGAAUGAUAUAUCGUACUCAAAAAUCUAUUUUUAAUUAAUUAUUAUACGAACGUUUAAAUGUGUCUCUAAGCUAUAUUAUAUAGUUGCUAAUUACUAUUAAGCUUACACUUCUUCCUUCUAAAAAAAGCAUCUUUUGGCUUCUCAGAUCGCGAUUCAAGCUUCAGUUAUAAGCAUUUCGUUUCGAUUGAUAUUGUUGAUGCGAGAUUCUGGCUCUCUGCUCGACCACGACCAGGAUCUCUCCUCAACUAAACGGACCACGACCAGGGUCUUUCCUCGUAACACUUCUUCUCCACAAACUCCUGUGUACACAGAAACAAGUCAGAGCACGCCGGGUGUUUUUCCGGCGUAAACCCUCCGACGCUCAAGUCAGGAAUGUAGGCUUUGCCUUUCUGGGAAAAACGGCCACUAAUCUUAUGGCUCUUUUCUUAGAUCUAUCAAUCGAAAAUUCUCUUUCUCUCCUUUUUUUUCUCAAAAAGUCUAACCCUUUUACCUUCGUUGGCUACCUUUUUAUAGGCUUCUCCUGAGUUCAGACCUUCCCUCAAUUCACGCCCGUUACCUUCCCACCUCUCGGAAGUGGAUGCAUCGUUUCUGUAAUCGUGGGUGGUUGCAUGGCCUUCGUGCCUUGAUUCUCGGGUUGGAGAGCACGUCUCGCCAACUGUCGUUGACCGGGUCUCCUCGCCUCAACCCUUAGCAGGAAUGGCUUUACGCUUCUAAUAGGAGACCGGCCUCGCAGAUGGUGUAUUCACGGACGAGCAGUAUAUUCCUGCUCCUGUUCCCCUACUACCAGACUUCUACAAAAUAUACCUGUUCGUGGAACCCUGCUACCAAAUAUCUGCUCAUCAUGGCUGGUCUUGUCAAAGUACAUCCCCCAAACACCGAUCCCCCAGUUUCUGGUGUUGGGUAACAUAGUGAGCCGACAGUAGAAACUCGACAGUUCUGGCUCGCGCGGGAUAGGAAAAGACUGCCAAGAGUCGUGUCGCAUUUAAUUGCGGAUGAGGUGAUGUGGCAGAAAUCUACCCCUCUAUUUGAAUUUCAAACCGAUGGUUACGAAACUCUUGGGAUUUGUGCCGUUAAAUGCUGGCAGCCCAAGAGUUUGUUCCUCAUUAGGAAAACCCAAAACCCCCAAAAGAGAAACUUGUCAUUUACUCUGUUUCUGUCUCUCCGGCGAACGAGUCCUUCCUCUCCCUCGGCGUAAAAGCUUCCAUCCUUGUCUCUCUCCGACUAAGUCACAACUUCAGGUAUUAUUUCUAUUUCCUCGGUCUUGGAUAGUUGUAGACAAUUUCCUUUCUCUCUGUUUUGUUUGGGUAGUGCUUGGUGAUGCUGCUCUGGUUAUAGUUUAAGGAAUGUCAAAAGGUAAAGAGAAAGUCGUUGAGAUUGAUGACGACGAACUAGACUUCUUGCCUAGUCUGCUCGCCGAUUCUGCCUUUGACCCCGGGAUCCCCUUAGAACCCAUUAGAUCUAGUGUUGGGGCUAGUGCUAGGAAGAUGUCCCCCCCAAUAACCUCCUCAAGCGGCAAUAGCGGCGACGAGGGGUCUUCUGGUUCGGAAGACACUCUGAGUAAGGAUCAGGGAGAUGAUUAUGGUGGAAUGUCCUCACCAGGAAUAUCGCGACCACAUAGGAGGGUCACAGUAGGAGGUAGAGCUUUAUCAAAGCAUUACGCUAUUGAUUUCAUCACGUGCACGACCACAGUAGAGGAGCUCACUAACCUCCGGGUUAGGUAUGAAAUUCCUGAUGAUAUUCCUCUUAGGAUCCCAGGAAAGAAGGAUACUCCUAGUCGGCCUCAUAGGGGAUAUGUUACUCUAUUUUUGGAGAGUUUUAAACUUGGGUUGAGGUACCCCCUGCAACCCUAUUUUGCCCGAAUACUUAAUGGGUUAAAUUUAGCUCCUGGUCAGCUGAACCCCAACGGGUGGAGAGUACUCUCUGGUCUGUUCAUAUUGUGGGAUAGAUGUUGCCAAAGCGAGCCCACAGUUGAUGAGGUGAAGCACCUGUAUCAGCUAAAGAGCUGCCCCAAAGACGCCGGCUGGUAUUACUUCCAAUCAAGUACCAAGACCAGGAAACCCAUAAUUGAUCUUCCAACUGGUGGUGGUGGGAAUUGGAAGAAAAAUUUCUUUUUUGCUGGGGGUCCCUGGGGUCAAGUUGCACAGAUUGAUGGGAAGGAUUAUCGCGUCCCACCCCGUUUCGUGGUCCCAGGUUGCCUGCUCGCUUUAGAUGUCUUGUCUCCAUAGUUGUUCUCACUUUGUUGAUUUGUCUCUAACCCAAUAUUUGUUCGCAUUGCAGGUUCUUGGGGUGUGCAUUACCCUCUUAAACCUGAGCAGCUCAAGCGGGUCGAGGCUGUACUGGCCAAUUCCUGUUCGAACCGAGAGCUGCUAACUACUUACAACUUGGUCGAAUCUCGUUUGGUGUCCACCGGCUAUAAGAUGUAGGAUGCUGUGAUCGGGGCUUUGAAUCGGAAACGUCCUCGACCUCAUGCUGCCAAGCAGGACCAGAAUAAAGAUGCUCCUUUUGCGAAGCGGGUGAACAUUGUUCAGUAGGUUCCCCCCCUGGAGACUCUACCUCCUCCUCCUGCCAAAGCUGGAGAAACUAGUGGAGCAGCCACUUCUUCUCCCCCAGCUGGGUCGAAACCCCGUUUGCCCGACAAUCGAGCGGAGCAUCUGGCCCCCUACAUCAGUGAGUUUUCUAAGCUCAUGAGCAAGAGAGACUUGGAGGAUUUUGACGGCAGCACUCCGGGUGAGCUGGUGGGGGCUAUGCAGUAUAAUGCUUUCCACCUCGGCUGCAUGUCCACCUACUAUAAGGCGAAGGUCGGCCGCUAUGAACAGAAGAUGAAAGAGGACAUUCAAUCGGCAAAAACCAAAGCAGGAGACCUAAAUCUCGAGAAUCUAAAGUUGAUAGAGUGAGAAUCUCUCGCUCAAGCCAAGGCCAUCACUCUUGAGGAAGAGCUGACUAAGGUCAAGGAGGAUCUGCAGGGGCAGAAGGCCACCUAUGAGGCUCAGCUCGAAUCCCUCAAGGACUCUCACCAGGCUCAGGUCGAGAACCUAGAGAAGGAAGCUGACAACCAAUAUGACCAGGGUCUGCGGCAUUCUUAUCGCUGCAUCAUAGCUGUUUUAGGGAAGCAGCAUCCUGAUCUGAAGAUGGAUGACCUUACUGCUGGUGUUGCUCAACACAUGGACGAGGAGGCAGCAAAAGAGGAUGUCGAAGAGGUGGAGCCAAAUGCGGUUGAGGAGGGAAAUUAUCCUCCUCAUUCAGUCCUUGCUGAUGUUGCUGAGGCGAGUACCCCCCGGAUGCAACUAGUGGUACCCCCCUCCAUUUGAGGUGGACCAGCCAACCGAGAAUGCUCGGCUUACUGACCCGCCGUCCUCUUGAAUGUAUCUUGUGUUGUAGCUGUUUUUUUUUUUUUUUUGGAACACUGUAUGUUAUGAGUAGCAGCUUUUCAUGAUUAUUGAUAAAUUAAUAAGAAUGUUCUUAUUUGCUUUCUCGUGCUGUAGUUGCAAAUUAUUUUACGUUUGAGGGUCUACUCGCCUUCACCGGGUCAAGCAAAUCCUGGCACGCUUGGCUUCUGGUGUCGCCAUAAGACAGGCUUUGAGACUUGGUGAGCCUUUGCAUACCUUAGAAAUUUUUAUAACGCUUGGGAGUCUGCUUGCCUUCGCUUGGUCGAGCAGAUCCCGGCACGCUUGGCUUCUGGUCUCGCCAUAAGACAUGCUUUGAGACUUGGUGAGCCUUUGCAUGCCUUAGAAACUUUUUUAUCGCGUCUGGGAGUUUGCUCGCCUUCGCUUGGUCGAGCAGAUCCUGGCACGCUUGGCUUCUGGUCUCGCCAUAAGACAGGCUUUGAGACUUAGCCUUUGCAUGCCUUAGAAACUUUAUAACAUUACACUGACUGAAAUUCAUCAUGGUUUCAUUGAUUAUUGAAUUCGGCUUACACGAGGUUGAUUUAACAUAAAACGAAUAACAACAAAAGCGAACAGAAAUAACUUUAAAUCAGGAACGAGUCUUACUGGAAUUUCCUGAGGUGUGCUGCGUUCCAGGGGCGUUUCACCUCGUGACCAUCCGCACGAACAAGCUUGUAGGCUCCGGGUCCAGCUACCUGCUUGACCCUGUAUGGCCCCUCCCAGUUUGGUCCAAGUACUCCUUGAGUCGAGUCUUUCGUGUUCUGAUUCACCCUCCUUAAAACCCAAUCUCCGACCUUGAACUGCCGUACAUUCACCUUCUGGUUGUAAUAUCGGGCAACCCUCUGCUGGUAGAUGGCUGAUCGUUUCGAUGCUUGCUCCCUCUUCUCGGUUAGCAAAUCCAGAUUCAAGCACAUCUGGUCGUUGUUCUCCUGCUCAUCGAAGUGAUCUGUCCGGUGCGUGCUCGUCCCUAUCUCAACUGGUAUAACUGCUUCAUGUCCGAAGGCCAAGGCGAAUGGAGUUUCGCCAGUUGUUGUUUUGUGGGUUGUCCUGUAUGCCCAUAAUACACAUGAUAACUCAUCAACCCAUGUACCCUUUUUUGCUCCAAGCCUGGUUUUCAACAGCCUCUUGAUUAUCUUGUUGGCUGCUUCUACUUGCCCGUUAGACUGAGGAUGAGCAGGCGAGCAAUACUUAAACUCUAUCCUGAGGUUCUGGCAGAAGUCCCUGAAGUUCUGGUUAUCAAACUGCCUGCCAUUAUCUGUUAUCAAAGCAUAAGGGAUCCCGUACCGGCAGACCAGGUUUCUCUAUACGAAGUCAGUUGUCUUUUUCUCUGUGAUCCUGCUAAGGACUUCUACCUCUACCCACUUCGUGAAAUAGUCUAUUGCUACUAUUGCAUGUGUUGCUGCUCCUCGUCCCUUUGGCAAUGGCCCAAUCAAAUCAAUUCCCCAUUGAGCAAAUGGCCAUGGGGAAGCCAUAGAAGUGAGCUUCUCUGGUGGUUGGGUAGAGAAAUUUACAAAACUCUGGCAACUUACGCAGCUCCUGGUCUUCUCAUGCACGUCCUGGUGCAUUGUCGGCCAGAAAUAUCCCUGCCUUAGGACCUUGUGGGCAAGGGAUCUUGCACCAGAAUGGUUUCCGCAAACUCCUUCAUGUACUUCUCUCAGCAUGUAAUCUGCGUCGUCCUCGUCUAAACACCGAAGGAACGGUAAGGUAUAUCCCCUCCGAUAUAAUACCCCAUCAAUCAUUGUAUACCUCGACGCUUGGGCUCUAGUCUUCCGAGCUCGUAACUUAUCUGGUGGCAGUACCCCAUUCCGGAUGUACGAGAUUAUCGGGUCCAUCCACGAGCAUUUCUGCUCUAUCUGUAGCACCUCCAGAUUCUGCUCGAUGUUGGGGCUGGACUUCACCUCCAGAGGGACUGACUUUGGCAUUUUCGGAUCUGCUACCGCUGCCAUCCUGGCCAGAAUAUCUGCUCGACUAUUCUCUUCCCUUGGGAUUUGUAUCACCUCAACCGCUUCAAACUUCCCAAUCAUCUGCUUGACUUUCUUCAGGUACUGCUCUAUCGUCCCAUCUCUUGGUUGAAAUCUUUCACUGACAUGAUUUGCAACCAGCUGAGAAUCAGUUCAGAUUUUCACCCUAUCCGCUUUCACUGCCUUAGCCAAUCCCAAGCCCGCUAUUAAAGCUUCAUAUUCUGCCUAGUUAUUUGUGGUUGUGAACUCUAACUUUACAGCAUCAGAGAUUUCCUCCCCUUCUAGGCCUUCCAAAACAAUCCCUGCUCCAGACCCCUGCUCCCCUGAUGAUCCAUCUACAUACAUCUGCCAUACUCGAGUUUCGUUGUUGGCUGUAGCAGUAUCCAGCUGGUCGAAACAUACUUCGGGCUCUGCGAAUUCUGCCACGAAAUCAGCCAUUGCUUGGGCCUUUAUUGCUGCUCGGGGUUUGUAAUCUAUGUCGAACUCACUCAACUCUAUGGCCCACUUCACGAGCCGACCAGAAGCAUCCGGCUUGUGUAGAGUCUGCCGCAAUGGUUGGUUUGUUAUUACCGAGACGGGGAAUGCCUGAAAGUAUGACCUCAGCUUUCGAGCAGCAACCACAAGGGCGAGUGCCCAUUUCUCCAACGGUGGGUAUCUGGUUUCGGCAUCGAGCAAAGCCUUGCUGGUGUAGUAUAUCGGAUACUGAACCCCUUCUUCCUCUCUUACUAGAACAGAACUUGUGGCAUGAUCCAAUACUGCCACAUACAGGAACAGCACGUCCCCAUCUCGCGGCGUGGACAACAGAGGUGCUUGCUGCAAAUAUUGCUUCAAAUUCUGGAAGGCUUUUUCGCAUUCUGGGGUCCAUUCUGUUUUCUUUCCUCUCCUUAUCACUUGAAAGAAUGGCUGGCACUUAUCUGUUGCCUUGGAUAUGAAUCGGCUCAAUGCUGCCAACCUCCCUGUAAGGCUCUGCGUCUCCUUCAGGUUAUGAGGAGACCCCAUAUGCACGAUCGCCUGAAUCUUCUCAGGAUUCGCCUCGAUCCCCCUAUGACUCACCAUGAAUCCGAGGAAUUUGCCCGACUCGACCCCAAAAGCACACUUCUCCGAGUUGAGCUUCAUCUUAUACUUCCUCAGAAGUCCAAAUGUCUCCUCGAGGUGCUCGACAUGUUCCUUCGGGAUUUUUGACUUGGUUAUCAUGUCGUCCACAUACACCUCCAUUGUUCUCCCAAUCAGCGGCUUAAAGAUUUUGUUCACCAGUCUCUGGUAUGUGGCCCCCGUAUUUUUAAGACCGAACGGCAUUACCCUGUAACAGAACAAACCCUGGUUAGUAAUAAAUGUCGUGCUCUCCUCAUCCUGCUCGAACAUGGGGAUUUGGUUGUAUCCCGAAAAUGCGUCCAUGAAGCUGAGCAGGUCAUGUUCGGCUGUUGAGUCUACAAGCUGGUCGAUCUUGGGUACGGGAAAGCUGUCUUUCGGGCACGCCUUAUUGAGAUCCGUGAAAUCUACACACAUCCUCCAUUUGCCAUUAGCAUUUUUCACUAACACCACGUUCGAUAUCCAUUCAGGAUAGUUAACUUCCCAAAUGAACCAUGCCUUCAAGAGCUUCUCCACCUCGCCAUUUAUAGCCUCAUACCUUUCCUGAUUGAAGUACCUUCUUUUCUGCCUUACUACCCGAGCACCUUUCUUUAUUGCCAGCCUAUGACAUGCGACCUCAGGGUCGAUUCCCGGCAUGUCCUCAUGCGUCCAAGCAAACACAUCUGCAUGAGCUCGUAGGCAUUGCACCAACUCCCGCUUCUGCUCUUCUUUAAGCCUCGACCCGAUUCAGAUCGUUUUUCCUGGAUCAUUUUGUUCCAGGCUUACUGUUUCCAGCUCCUCUACAGGUUCCUGUCUACCAUUCUUGGCUCCCACUCGUGUAUCAAGGGAUGUAAUAUGCAUUGCUUCCCUUGCUGCUGUGGAGUAACAGCUUCGGGCGAUCCUCUGAUCUCCUCGUACCACUCCAACUACCCCAUUCACUCGGUACUUGAGAGCUAGAUAAUUGUUGGAAAGUACCGCUGUGCUCAUACUCAGAAAGGGACGACCUAAGAUCAUCUGGUACGGACCCUCUUCAUCGACCACCACAAAAUCCAGUAUUAUGGUCUUUUCUGUCGGGGAAUUACCAAUUGUGAUGGGCAACUCGACCACGCCUAGGGGAACCAGCUUUCCUCCUCCAAAUCCCUUCAAGGAGGUAUUGGUAUGCUCCAACCUCAAGUCCGUUAUUCCCAUCUCCUCCAGAGUUGACUUGAACAAAACAUCGACCGAGCUUCCCGUGUCUACCAGAACUCGGUCAAACUUCUUGCUAGCAGCGGUGACUUUAAUAACUAAAGCAUCCUCAUGUGGAUAUAGAAUUCCCUCUUCAUCCUCAUUUGUCCACAUGAUUGGAACUUACCUGACUCUUGCUCGCUUAGCUGCUGGGGUGUUGAAAAAUACUUCUUUGCUAGUCAUGGCAUACUUGGCAUAAUUCUUCCUCGACCUGUUGGAAUCUCCUGCCAAUGUUGGGCCCCCAGCAAUCACUCUUAUUAUAGGCUGCUCGUGGUUCAAGUUCCUAUCUCUCUGCUCCCCUUCACCCGGCGAGGGCACCAUCGGGAAAGUCUCAUCAAUAAAUUCGUCCAUGUAUCGAUUUCUCACCAAAUCUUCAACCUAGGUCUUGAGAUCUCUGCAUUCUGUUGCGGUAUGGCUAUGAGUGCCAUAGAACUUGCAAUAGCGUCCCCUAUCCCUCCUGCUGGGUAGCUUUGUUAUUGGGGCAAGGAGGUACAGUAAUCUCUGGUCCUUUAUGGCCUCGUACACCUCAUCCAGCGGCAUCUUUAAGGAAGUAUACCGCCCAUAGUCCUGGUUAUGGUCGAUCAUGUGCACUGCCCUUUCCCCGUUUGUGUUGUUCUGAACUGGAGGAGGUGGCAGCGCUUCCGGCCUGCUUCCUCUACCACCAGGGGGGUGUGGUUGAGGAUGACUAUAUGUCGAGCCAUGCCUUCUCCAAAACUCCCUGGCUGGUGAACGAGGAGGUUGUGCCCUGCUGCGCUGAUACUGUGGUGGCCUCUGAUGAGGCUGGUAGGCGGUGACUCGACCUCCUAUACCACUGCCUGAGGCAUGUUGGUCCCUCCUCUUGAUCGGUCUAUUUCCUGGUAAGGCUCUCUUCUUUUUCAUUCUCAACCCUUCUAGCUGGUCUGUCUUGAUCUGUGCUGCCUUUUCCUCAUCAAUCUCUAUAUCCCUCUUAGCCUGCUCGUAAGCAGCUGCAUACGUUUGAAUAGCUGGGCUCCUCAAAUUGUACCACAGCCUUCCUAUCUUCACUCCUUCUUUCAAUCCCCUUAAUGUCUGAGGAUGGUUGAAGGCUCCCAAGUCGAGGACAGCGCGAUGGAACCUCUUGAUGAAUUCCCGAAGGGUUUCUUCCUCCCCCUACUUCAUGUUUUUCAACUCCAUCAUGUCAUCUUCCGGUGCCAUUGCCACACGAAACUGCUCUGCAAAUUCCUGGCACAUCUGCUCGAAAGAUUUAACGCUUCCUCGAGGAAGUUUUCGGUACCACUCACGUGCUCGUCCCUCUAGAGACAGCGGGAACAUCCUGCAUCUUUGAGCUUGGGAUAAUCCUUGCACCCCAGUUAUGUCGUUAAAGCGCUCUAUGUGCACCAACGGAUCGGUUCAUUCCGAGUACUUGAGGUCUGGGAGGCGAAAAUCCCUUGGAAUGACUGCUCUCAUGAUCUCUGCCGAGAGUGGGGAUUCUCCGUCCAGCAUUAUCCUCCAACCAGGUGCUCUGUUCCUUCCUUGCAUGUCAUCAAUUACCUGCACUAAUCUGCGCACUUCUUCCUCCAGCUGUACUGCAUGAUCAGGGUCACGUGCUGCAACUUGAUCCCGCUCUUGCUCUACAUCAUGUAGGUGUUGCCUGAGCUCUGUUUCCUAUGCAUUCUCCACCUCGUCGUCAUUAUCAAAAAUCUGCCUUCCUGGGGAUUGGUCUUCUCUUCUAUGGACUUCUCCCCGUAGAGAUGAGUUACCUCCCUCACCACCAAAUCUCCUGGUGGUCCGACUUCUCAUCAUAUUAUCGUGCCCUGGUGCCAUUCCGCCACUUCUCACCCUUUCCUCAUGGAUUCCCCUCCGUUCACUCCUCAGCUCAUGUAGGAUGGUGGUCAGGGUCUCCAUCUGCUUUUCCAUCUGUUUCAUCCGGUCAUACAUGAUUUUUUCCCGUGUUUCAUUGGCUAUCUCCCUCAACGUCACGGAUUCGUUAAGCCUCAUAUCACCUCCUUGUGCACUACUUCGUCCUACAUCUAUUGUUUCUUCACUUGCUGUAUUCCUCCUCUUUCUGUCAACAGAGCUUUUUUAUCAGCUCCCCACAGACGGCGCCAAAAUGUUGAUGCGAGAUUCUGGCUCUCUGCUCAACCACGACCAGGAUCUCUCCUCAACUAAACGGACCACGACCAGGGUCUUUCCUCGUAACACUUAUUCUCCACAAACUCCUGCGUACACAGAAACAAGUCAGAGCAUGCCGGGUGUUUUCCCGGCGUAAACCCUCCGACGCUCAAGUCAAGAAUGCAGGCUUUGCCUUUCUGGGAAAAACGUCCACUAAUCUUAUGGCUCUUUUCUUAGAUCUAUCAAUCGAAAAUUCUCUUUCUCUCUUUUUUUUCUCAAAAAGUCUAACCCUUUUACCUUCGUUGGCUACCUUUUUAUAGGCUUCUCCUGAGUUCAGACCUUCCCUCAAUUCACGCCCGUUACCUUCCCACCUCUCGGAAGUGGAUGCUCCGUUUCCGUAAUCGUGGGUGGUUGCAUGGCCUUCAUGCCUUGAUUCUCGGGUUGGAGAGCACGUCUCGCCAACUGUCGUUGACCGAGUCUCCUCGCCUCAACCCUUAGCAGGAAUGGCUUUACGCUUCUAAUAGGAGACCGGCCUCGCGGAUGGUGUAUUCGUGGACGAGCAGUAUAUUCCUGCUCCUGUUCCCCUGCGACCAGACUUCUACAAAAUAUACCUGUUUGUGGAACCAUGCUACCAGAUAUCUGCUCUUCAUGGCUGGUCUUGUCAAAGUACAUCCCCCAAACAGAUAUUAUUCUUUCUUGAUAGUAUCAUGGAAACUGCAAACGAAAAGUCAGCAUCUUUGAGUUUUCUUUCAUCAUAUCUGACUUGUUGGUCUACUAAUCAAUCAACAGGCCCUUCUGAUCUUGAUAAUUUGAACUUAAGGAGGGAAAGCAGCAAUCCUGAAGGGCCAUUGCUUGAUGCCGAGAUCAUUGUUGAGGGCAAAUCAGUGGCAGUUAAUCGCAGAAUAUUGUCAAAGUCUGCAAGCAAUCCGUUUUUCCGUCGGCUUUUUAAAUUGAGCAGUGAUGCUUCUGUGAGUGAGGGGAAACCCAAGUAUCUUAUGACUGAUUUGGUGCCUUAUGGGAAGGUUGGAUUUGAAGCUUUCAAUGAUAUCUUGCAUUGUCUUUACACUGGAAAGACAAAGGCAACUCCUCCAGAAAUGUCCACGUGUGUUGAUGAUGCUUGUGCUCAUGAUGCCUGCCCUCCUGCUAUUAAUUAUGUUAUUGAGUUAAUGUAUGCUUCUGCUGCUUUUCAGAUGACACAUCUCGUUUCGGUUUAUGAGGUAGUUGCGCUUCCUCGCUAUUUGUAUUGCUUAAAUUUAUGCUUGUUGGUAUAAUUUUAACAUUUAUAGAAUUGAAAUCAAUUUCAGUUGUGACUUGCAAAGAGCCAAAGAAUCGAAUCUAGUAAAUCCAAAAUUAUUUUGAAAGAGACAAAAAUUAUAUGGCAACUUCGGUGGUUCGCAAUAUUAGGCAUUGUAGUAUAUCCAAAAUUAGCUUGUUAACCUAGCAAAUCAUUAAUGUUGUAGAAUAACAUCUUGUGUAGGUGAGCUUAUGUCUCUGUUCAUUGGUCCACCGGCAUUUAGGUUCGAUAAGCAUGGCACUGAUUUUCCCCCUCAUUAUUAUUUUCAUGCACAAAUUAUCCCCAUUAAGUAUUUGAACUUUGAAUAUAUUAUUCUGAAUCAAAACUCUAUCUGUCCGUGUAGCAUUUUAUAUAUGCUUUUUGAUGUUUGCCAAUAAUUACCCACUAUGGGGUAUUUGAAUUUUGAAUAUAUUACACUGAAUAAAAACUUUGUCUGUCAAUCUUAAAGAUGCAAGAGGACGCACGGUGCUUCAUGUGGCUGCAAGGCGUAAUGAGCGAUCAGUUCUGGUGACUCUGCUGAGCAAGGGAGGAUGCGCAUCAGAAACUACAUCAGAUGGGCAAACAGCUGUAGCAAUCUGUCGGAGAAUGACAAGGUGAAAGGAUUAUAUUCAAGCUACAAAGCAGGGGCAGGAAACUAACAAAGAUUGGUUAUGCAUUGAUGUCCUUGAGAGAGAGAUGAGAAGGAACUCCACGUCUGGGAACUUGGCAAUGCCAGCACAGGUGAUGGAUGAUGUUUUCCAAAUGAAGCUGGACUAUCUGGAAAAUAUAGGUGAUAUUUCUUUACUGGUAUUAGUUCAUCACCUUCUCAGAGUUUGUUCAUAACACACUUCUUUCUACUGUUUGUUUGUCCCUUCAUCUGGAAAAUAGAGGUGAUAUUCUUUUACUAGUAUUAGUAAGUCAUCUUCUCAGAGUUUGUGAGUCCCUUCAUCUUGGCAUCUCAAACACACAUGGGCUUAUUGCUUGGAGGGCACUGUUGGCCAGUCAUGUGAUUUGAUCCCCUUUUUUGGAAUAGACAAUUCUGAAUCCAUCUGAUCUAAGCUUGGUGGUUUCCUCUGAACUGGUUUUUGAUGAAUAAUUGUACAAGACUUUGUAAUAAAAAACUUUUUUUCCCCCAAAAGUAAUGAGGUACCAAAAACUUUAUGCCCAUCCUGGAUGACUGCCAUAACAGCUUCUUAAUAUUUUGCAGUGGCUUUUGUACGGUUGUUUCCUUCUGAAGCUAGAGUAGCUAUGGAAAUAGUAGGUGCAGAUACCGCCCCUGGCCUUUCAGCAUUAGGUCGGAAAGUACUAAGUGGGAACUUAAAGGAGAUUGAUUUGAAUGAAACGCCCUCUAUGCAAGCCAAGAGACGCCAAUUGAGACUGCUAACUCUGCUUAAAAAAGAUAUUUAUAUGCUUUAUUAACUUUUGCACCUUUCUAUUUACUGAUUAUCUUUAUAAUUAAAUAAUACAUGUAUCCAGGUUUCUCCUUCCAUUUCAUUAGAAGUAAAUUGGAAUCUCUUUAUAGUGCUCUGUUAGGUGUAAUCAGAUGUAUCAAAAGAGAAAGGGUAAUUGUUAGUACAUUGAUAUCUCAACAAAAUGGUAGAACCUUUCUUUAUACCACUAAAGACAUUUGUUGCAGGGAUGCCUGCAUAAUCAGUGUCCUUUAAAACUUUCAAGGAGUUAGCAAUGCCUAACCCUUGAAACACUAAAUCUCACUGGAUCAACUCUUUACCUCUGGACCGAAGGUGUGACACCCAAACCCAAUUAGGGCUUAGAACGCAUAUUGAAUUUGAGAGAAACUAAGUGCUUGUAAAUCCAAGUCUCCAAAAUAUCAAAAGGUUAUCUACUUUCUCUUUUCAUGUAUUUCACAAAAUUUUGAAAAAUUCAUCCUCAAUCAUAAACUAGGCACAGCUAAUUAAUCAGCAUAUCAGUAUACAUCAAUACUUCCUCAUAAGCAAAUAAAUCUUACAAUCCUUCCUACAUGAUUUAAAAAAAAUACUUCUAGAACUCUUCUAGAUACAAACAUAAACAGAAUUCAACUGCUAAAACUUGUUGAAAAUUGAUUAAAAAAAAAAGUGUCAAAAUGGUGGGUGGUUGAGCAACCAUCUUUGAAUUCAAAGAUGGUGGGUGGCUAGCCAUUGAACAAGGAAAAUGGGUAGGUGCCGCCCAUGGAAAGAAGAAAAAAAAUGAAGAAAAGGAAGCCAUAAUUUGGCUAUAAAUAGAGGAGUGCUCCUCCUUAUUUUUGUAUCCCAAAUCCCAGAGAAGCGAUCCAAGUUUUGGUGAGAAAUUGAGAGAGAGAAAUGUUCUUAAGCAUGUAGUUAUAUUGUAGGAGUAUUUGACUCCUCAAUAUAUGUGUUACGGGUUUACUUUGUUAAAGGAUAUUUCUCAGGAUUAUGUAUUUGGGGAUUGGGUGAGAGAAAAUUAUUUCUCAGAGUGUGGUUGUAAUAAUUUUCCACAUAGUGAAUAUUUUUUCUCUGGUUGGCUUUUGACAACGGCAGUGGUUUUUCUCCAGAUUUAGAGUUUUCCACGUAAAUCUUGUGUUGUGUGAUUGGUGUAUUCUCUAUUUAAUUUUUUCUGUUAAUUUGUUGCUUGACAAAUUGCUUAGAGUGAUCUUGGGAGGAAACUCAAUUUCCUAACAAAACUAUGCCAAAACACAAGCUUCAAUCAGUAAUACAUACGACUAAUUAUUAAAAACAUAGAGCCAGAAACCUUACGAAAGCUCAGUCCUUCAGAAGCAUUCUUCGAAUUAAUAAUUGCUACUAUCUGUGAAAAAUAAUUGACACGGGUUCAGCUGUUAACUCAAUCAGUAGAAACAUUCAUAACCAACAAAAAGAAUUCUUUGUGCAAUAUUUUCAGAAAAUUCAUUUAACCUUUCAAAUGAAACAAAGUAAUUUUUCAAACACUGUCAGGAUUUAUAUAAAACAUAAAUGUUUCCGACGGAAGCUUUUUGGAACGUAAAGUUUGCUUCUUUAAACAGAAAGUUAUACAUUAGUUUGAUUUUAAAGGGUGGUUAUUGGGAAGUUAAAAUUGGCUGUUGUGGUAAAAGGGUAAUAGCAGUUAUAAUCUCUUUUAAAACAACUUCAAAUCAAGUUUCAAAUUUUAGGAGUACUUAAUUCAAUAACAUAAAGAAUAAAUAAAGCUUUAAUUGAAACAAAACUAAGUAAAUUCAUUUAAAGCAAAACAGGAUGCGAGCAUUACGUAAGGGUUCUUGACCAUACCAUGUUUACCCGCAGUCGGAUAUCUGGGACUUUGUUAUUUGGAGACAAGACUUGAUUUUGCCAUGUUUUCCGCAGCUAGACAUCUGUGGAUAAGAGAACCCUAAGCCUAUUGAGAAUAAAUUCUGUAAUCUAAGACUCUUCAGUUCUUUCAUUUGUGGCUAAUUAGUUAUAAAAUUUGUGAAUUUCAUGCCCCAUGCCCCUUGCAAAAUGUAUUUUAUAUCCUUAAGAUGCUAGUGGAUGAACUGAAAUAAUAAAAAAUGGAAAACAGACUUGAUGCCGACAGCAUUUCUCAAGAAAAACUUGGGAUGUUUAUAAUUUUCUUAGAGCAUUUGCUGAGCUUUCUGUGAUCGCAGUCGAGACAGGUCAACGCUACUUCCCUCAUUGCUCAGAAGUGGCUUUUAAGUUUAUGGAUAUCAACUCCCCUCAUUGCUCAGAAGUGGUUAAUGAGGUUUUGGAUUGUGAUUGGUCCAAUGCUUCCCUCCUACAAAAGGGUACUCCUGAAGAGCAGAAACUCAAAAGGGCAAGCUUCAUGAAACUUAAAGUAGACACGGGGGAGGCAUUCUGCAAGGACGUGGCUUAUCCCCGUCGUUUAGGGCUGCCAUCAUCCUGGUCGGCAUUUUACAAUUACAUGGCUGAGAGCAAUCGUUCAGGUAUGCCGACAUCCUCGGCAUCGAGCAAUUAAGCAUCACCUUUCCCUAAAAGUUAUUUUUGACACAUGGGAAACUAAAAGAGUUUAGUGAGCUCGAUUGGCAUUUGUAGUUUUUUUUGCCUCAAGUGAUCUGGUAUGUAUCAAUUAGUUUGUGAAAUUAUUGUACUGUAUCAAUUAGUUUGUGAUAUGUACACAUGCAUGGAUCACAAACUCAUUUCAUUGAAUAUUUUUUUUUUUAAUUAUACAAUUUAUAGGCUAUGCUUAAAAAUUAGAAAAAAAGAAUUGUAUUACAGUUGGUAUGAGACAUGCAUGUGUGCAUAUCAGUUGCUGAACAAACUUUGCCUUUUAAUUUUGUAGGCAUUACUUUCUGCAAUUUGAGAGAUAGUGGAUUAGUGGGGAGUGGAUUAAAGUGCAUCUACAUAGAAUUAAUCAAAAUAAAAUUGAUUUUUUAACUAUUUUUACUCAAAGUAGUAGUUAUUCUUUUUAUUAGUGUUAUUCCAAUUAUAUCAAAAUCAGUUGACUGGUGAUCAAAUUAAGUGAUAUAUGGUAUGGAGUUUUUAUAAAUCUAUGUAAAUAGUAAAAUAUUUAAUUUUUCUUGUCGUACAAUUUUAAUUUAUAUGGUUUAAAAAAAGAAAUUGACUUAUUAAUUAAUUAACAAUUAUAGAAAGAAUAAAUAGAAAAUUAUAGUUGUGGGAGAAAACUCUCGCGAAAAGGGCUCUAGAUUGGCUUCGUGCGUUGCCCCUGGCCCUUUCGAGCACGAAUUCGAAUCCAAUGCUUUAUAAUAAAGAUAUAAUAUUAUUAUAAUACUAAUAAUUAACAUUAAAAUAUUAAAAAAUAAGGAAAAAAAAAUCCAAAUUUUUACUGGGGUUUUUAAUUAAAUACCCUUUAAUAAUUUCAAAAUUAUUUAAAUACCCCCUCCCUUUUUGGUUUUCAUGGAUACCCUAACAAAUGUGAGCAAAGUCAGAAAUACCCUUAAUGAAUGCAUCAAACUCACUCAAGGAAUUGUCUUCAUAUUUCUUUCCUCAUUUCUUUCACCCAAAUCUAUUUUUGCUGCCGAUUCUUUCAAAAUCUCUUAGCAUCUCUCAAAAUCUCUCAUAACUUCUUACACAAAUACAAUUAUGUAUUCAUUUCUUUAACACCCACUCUUUCUUUAAAGGUGCAUUGCUUAUUAAACAACCAAAUAAGGUAUGUUAAUGUUGUUGGGUUUUAAAUUUUUAAUUUUUAGGAAAAUUUAGAAAUUUUCCUCACAUUACAAUGUUUUAUUUUCACCAUUUUUUCUUAUACGUAGAAAUAUAUGCAAUGUAGGUUGUUUAAUUAUUUUUUUCAGCAAUAUAACUUAUUUAUGGCGAAAAUGUUUCGAGUCGUGCAUUCUUUUGAUACCGUGUACGUCAUAUAAUUAGUCAUGUAGGUCAUGUAAGUAAUAUAGUCGUGUAAGUCGUGUAGGUCAUGUAAGAAAUAUAGUCGUGUAGGUCGUGUAAGAAAUAUAGUCGUGUAAGUCGUGUAAGUAAUAUAGUUGUGUAGGUCAUGUAAGUCGUGUAGUUAAUUGUAUAUGAAAUUUAAUAUUAUUGUUUUUAUUGUAUCAUCAGAUAUGGUUUUGGUACGUGUGCCUAUUCUCUUCAAUGGUGAAUGGAUUGAGCAAAAUGACGAGUAUAAGUUCAAAGGUUCAAAGGCUAAAGGGAUAAUGAUACCACGAUCGACAACAUAUGCCGAAUUGGUGGAGAAGAUAACUGAAGUUAUUGAUAUAGAUACUUCGGAAUUCGAAAUCACAAUGAAGUUCAAACUUAAGACAUCUGAUCCUAUGCCACUCGUUACAAUUCAAACCAAUGAUAAUGUGGAAUUUUUUUAGAUUCUAAUUUAAUUUCACUUCUUCUUUUUUAAUAAUUUUCGUUGACAUUUUCUGCAUAGCAGCAAAUAUAAAUUCUUAGCACAAAUUAAGUCUUUAAAGAACUAAAUUAAUCUAAUGAGUAAUAGAAAAAUUCGUGUAAUUUUAAAGUUGCAAUUAAACAUAUUACCGCCAUUUAAAAAGUUUUUUUUUUUUUUAUCUUCAAAGUGCUUUCUUCCUCUGGCCAAGCAUACAAGCAUACAUGAGGAAUGUCUGCAUAUAAUUAAUCCAUGAAAUCAAUUAAGAAAAAAAAAUAUCAACCAUAGGAAAUUAAUGUAAUGUUAUACACAUAAGAACACCAUUCGCAGUGAUAAAAUAUUUCCACUCAUAACUAGACAUAUCAUGACUUACCAUGGCUUAUAAUUGGAAAUUAAGAAUCUCUCUAACUAAUGACAUUUCACAAGGUAAAGGUAUAUGCACCAUUCCAAUUUAUUGUGAGCCUAAUUAAACUAAAUGUAAUGUGUAGAUUCUAUUGACAAGAAACAAAAUGUGGAAUUGAAGGUCGUGUAAUUGUGUAAUACAAGAAGAUCGUGUAAUUGUAUAAUACAUGAAGGUCGUAUAAACAUGCAAUACAUGAAGGUCGUGUAAACGUGCAAUACAUGAAGGUCGUAUAAUCGUGCAAUACAUGAAGGUCGUGUAAUCGUGCAAUACAUGAAGGUCGUGUAAUACACAACCUUGAAUCUUACAUAACCUUACACGACCAAAUCUUAUGUUACAUAACAAAAUUAUAAUCAGCACAAUCCAUUAAUUUUUCACAAUUUGCAUGCAGCAAAACAACUAGAAAUUUGUUUUCGAACAUGUUAUGAGAGACCCACAACUAAUUAAUCUAUUUUUUCAAUAUAAAACCCUAACUUUUUGUUUUUUUCCCUUGAAUAUUAACAAGAAAACUAAUUAUACGGAAUUACUUGUCUCAACUAGUGAUAUUCUGACAAUUUUACAGUAAAUGAUCAACUCUCUCCGGCGAUUAUGUAGUGACGAACUAUGCUUCACUUUCUCAGUUGUGGCAGCUUCCCCUUCUCAGGCUUAGUUUGCUCGUGUUGAAGUUCGAUUUACCAUGUAUGGAGAAUGAAUGUUUGUUUCGGUAGAGGUGAUGCUGGUGAGGGAAUUACAGAGGUGAUGUCGGUGAGGGAAUUGCAGUGUUUGUUUGUUUGAGUUUGAUAAUGGAGGGAAUUGCGGUAGAUGAGUGUUUGUUUGCUUCAGUAGAGAAGGGAGAUGUAUUGUCCGUUGAGUUGAAAUGUUUUAAAAUGAGGAUAGCUUAGUAAUUUCCUAUCAGUUUUUAAAGGGUAUCGAUGAAAAUUUUGGCAAAAACAGAUUUUAGGGUAUUGAGAUAAUUUUUGAAGUACGAAGGUGUACCGGGCGCAAUUGGCUCAUUUUUACUGGUAUAUAAUAUAACGCAGGGCCAAAACGAUAGCGAAACAUCAAAUUGUUUUUAUUUCAAUCUUCGCGCAACCUCCGGUGACAUAAUUUUUCUCUGUUUCAGGUACAUACAUACCCAAAACUAAACUUUGCAUGUAUCGUUCUUGUUUUUUUGUUAUUCAUUCACACAUCCUUCUUUUCUUUUCUUUUCUUUUCUUUUUUGCUGUAAGUUUUUAUGAGACGCUCUGUUUCAGUUUAAUAUUAUUGUUUGGGUUCUGUUCUGCUCUGUUCUCUGUUGUAUGUAUAUAUGUAUAUAUUUUUGGCCUCGAAUUGCUUUGAUCACCGGAAUUUUUAUUCAUUUAUCGUGAAUUUUAGAUGACUUGUUUGGCCAUGUAUUCAUUUGAUUGUUACAUUCAGCUGCCAUCUUCAUGGUGGGUUUGUAAGAUAGUCUCUGACUAACAUAUGGCAUUCAUUAUGAAUGAUGGUUUUGUGAGAUACAUCAUACAGACGUUAACUUGUAUUAACAUGUACUUGCUUCAUCUAAAAGAUUAGUGUUUUUCUGGCUUUUUUUUUUUUUUUCCUUUUUGAAAUGCCCUUUUUGCAUUUUAUAGGUGAAAGGAAAAAACAUAAUAUCGCAGCUCUAGAACAAAGGAGCCUAUUCUGGUACCUAUUGUCCAAGGAAGCUUCUGUAUAUUCGGUAGGCACUACCAUGGAAGUGAAAUCUUACCAGAGCCAGGCGGAGUCAUUGCUGAAGGAAUAUAUAUUAGCAGAUCCAUUUGUCCCGUACACUUCAAUUGUUGGUAGCAUUUUUGCUUGCAAGAUGGUAUGUUUUUCAUCGUUACUGCAUGGUGGUAUUUACUAGAAAAUAUUUUGAAUGCAUAGUUUUUAUUUAAUUAGUUAUAAAUUUUUAUACCCACUGCUUUCUAUAAGAACGUGUUCAUUUUCAGGUCUAUAAUCUUGCCCAAUUGAUUAGUGCGGUUCACUUUAAAAGUUAUUCCAGUUUCUCCAACAUACAGCGGGUUGAGUGGAGUAACAGGUGAUUGAAUAUUUUCAUUUAGUUCAAUUGACAUUUCUUUUUCAAUCGGUAAAGUUUAAUCGUUUCUCUUAAAUCGACAACUUAUGCAGGGCCAUAUCAACCGUCCAUGCCAUUUUUAUUACAGCUAUGUCUUUGUAUUUCGUGUUUUGGUCAGAUCUCAGAGUUUGUGCAUAGCACACUUGUUUCUACUGUUUGUUUGUCCCUUCAUAGACAUUUCGACAAACUGUUAUUUUUGUUCUUUGGAAGUGAAUAUUUUCAGCAACUAGAACUCCAAAGCAUCUGGAAUGAUCCAUUUUAUCAUUCUCAAUACCUAUAAAAGAAUGUCAUAGAAAACAGUUUCCAUAGCAAGUUGCAUGUGUUUUGAAUUUGUCUUUGCAAGCCACUAAUUGCUUAGAGCACACUGUUAGUCAGUCGUGAUUCCAUCCACUUUUUUUGAUAGACAAUUGUGCAUCCAUAUGAUCUGGACUAAACUAGUUUUUAAUUAAUAAUUGCCCAGGGUUUUAGUCUCAGUGUUACAGCCCAGUCUUUGUUGUCAAUACUCUUUCCCCCGUUGUGGAUGAGCACCAUUACAGCUUCUUAAUGUUUUGCAGUGGCUUUCGCACGGUUGUUUUUUCCUUCUGAAGCUAGGGUAGCUAUGGAUGUAGCAGAUGCAGAUGCCACCAAUUUUUAUACUGGCCUUUCAGCAUCAAAAUCAAAAGGAUCAAGUGGGAGCUUAAAGGAGGUUGAUUUGAAUGAAACACCCUCUAUGAAAGCCAAGAGACUCCAAUUAAGACUGCAAGCUCUGCUUAAAACAGGUAUUUAUAUACCUUAUUAGUUUUUGUACCUUUACAAUUAGUGAUUUUUGCAUCAAAAGAGAGAGGUUAAUUUUUAGUACAUUGAUAUCUCAACAAAAUGUUAGAACCUUUGGAGCACUACAGACAUUUUCUUAGAGCAUUUACUGAACUUUCUUUGAUUGCAGUGGAGACAGGUCGACGCUACUUCCCUCGUUGCUCAGAAGUGGUUGAUAAAUUUUAGGAUUGUGAUUGGUCCGAUGCUUCCCUCCUAGAAAAGGGUACUCCUGAAAAGCAGAAACUCAAAAGGGCACGCUUCAUGGAACUUAAAGAAGACCUGAAGGAGGCAUUUUACAAUGACAUGGCUGAGAAAAAUCGCUCAGGUUUGUAGUCAUACUCGUCGUCGUCAUCUUCUCCGAAGGAAGGAGUAAAGUGUAAGGGUAGGAAAAGGUGAUGCUUAGCUGCUUGUCUUUGUUAUUCAUUUAUAGGCAACUAAAAGAGUUUUAGUGAGUUGGAUUGUUACUUGUAAGCAGAUACUCUUCGAGCCUAUGUUAUGGCCAUGUUGUAUAAUAGCAGAGGAACUUCAAGCUUGCGUUGUUGUAUUUUCCCCAGUAUUUGGCAUGUAAUGCACUAGAUGACAAAGAAUUUUCUAAUUUUAGAGGGGAAAGUUAUGUCAGUUAAUUAUUUAUUUAUUUAUUUUGUCUGUUUAAUUCAGUUUGCAUUAGGGAUGGCAAAAUAACCUGAACCCGGACGAACCCGGAUAAUCCAGGCCGGGUUGAACCCGUACCGGAAUGUAAAAAAAUUCGGGUCCGGAAUAAAUUUUAAUAACCCGGAUAUAUCCGGGUCCGGGUCCGGGUUUAGGUUAACCCGAACAUUCGGAACCCGGACCCGGAUAUCUAAUUUUAAUAUUAUUUUUUAAUUAAUUUUAUUGAUUAAUUUAGAUGUGUUAUUGCUUGGAAAUGUAUUAAUUUUUUAUUUUUAGAAUUUUAGAAAUUGAUAUUGAUUCAUUGAUCCGGGUUCAAAACCCAGAAUCCGGAAACCCGGAUUUUUCCGGGUUGAACCCGGACCCGGGUGAAAAAAUCCGGGUUAAAAUCCGGGUCCGGGAAAAGAAAAUGGUAUCCGGGUCCGGAUCCGAAAAGGCUAAACCCGGACCCGGAUUUUGCCAUCCCUAGUUUGCAUAGCUUUUUUUUUUUUUUCUUUCCAAAAAAAUCUUCAUUUCUUCAUCUGCAAUUUAAGUCAUUUGUAACUUCUUUUAGGGAGGAGAGAGAGAAAAAAAAGAAAAGAGUAUAUUUUACAGUAGUGAUUUUCCUACGGAAAUUGGUUAAGAUGACAUUAAUGUUCUUUGAGAUGGACGGAUAUGCAGAUUUUUCGUCGAAAUUGAAAUUAGAAAUGGAUGGAUAUGAAUGACAUAUAUGCAGAAUUUUAAUAAAAUUUUUAUACAAAAAUUUGUAGCUCAUUACUCUCUAGAAGGAAAAAAUAAGUUUUUAAUUGUAAAUAUUAAAUAUUAAAUAUUAAAUUUAUAAUAUAAUAAAUGUGUGACUUAAGGUGCACAAUACCCAUAUAAUAAUAAUUAAGAAAAGAAAAAAUCAAAAUUUGCAAAUUACCAAUUUUCUCUUGAAAUUUGAUAUUCUAUAUUAACGUAGGUGUUGCAUGGACUGGGUUAGUACAACUGAAAGAAACAAAAUAUCAUAAAAAUGAGUGUAAGUUUGUAUAUAUAUUUUUUGAAUUGUCAUAUAUAUACAAGUUUGUCACUAACGGUAAAUUUAAUUAUGAAUAUUUUAAUAAUUCAAAAUCUCAUUCAACCAUCGGUGUUUAUAGUGUUUUUCGAAAUACAAAAUUGUAAUUUAUAAACAGUCUCACCCUUAAUAGUACAAUGCUAAAUCUUUUCAAAAAAUUAUUCUAUUAUAGUCGUCUUAGUCAGUUAUAUUUAUUUUCAAAUUGAAGAUAAAAAUCGUACUUCAUAUGUCAAACAUUACUUAAAGACUUUAGGGAUAUGUACGUGAAACUGAAUGAAUCAUCAGUUGCAUAUUACUUAAUGGCAAGUGAAGCUAUUUUAUGUGUAUUGCUUGUCACGGGAUGAGUGUUUUGCGCAGCUAACCCGUGUGGCACUUAGACAACUUUGCCGAAUGUUGCUAAGUAAGCCUUGAGCUUCUCGAACUAGAGAAGAGAGCAAUGGAGCCGAAUAAGAAAACUUGUAUUGCACAAAAGAGAGAUUACAAGAAUGCUUGAGUUGCUUGCUCUAAGCUUGUUGUUGUUGUUUUUUAACAAAUGCCUAAUGACAUCCCAUAUUUAUAGGGGAUGCUUGCCAAGCUCUAGGGAUUCUAGAGAAUUCUACCACUUCCUAGCUAUUUACAUGUGCUGGAAUUGUAAAGAGAAUUCUAGAGUAUUUACAAGCUCAAUGUGCUAGAGUUGCCUAGAACUUUCCGGAAUUUGGGCCAAGCUAGCACUCUUGGCUUUGUCUUGGGCUCUUGGUGGCCAAAUUGGGCUAGCGAAUUGGGUGGUCCACAACAUCCUCCCCCACCUAAGCUCGCGGCGUCCUCGUCGCGCUCUCGUGCUUGAAGCGUUGGAUGUGCUCAGCGAAUUGCCACAAAUCAUCUUCACGUUCCCAUGUGGCCUCGCUCUCGGGGAGGUUUUUCCACUUCACCAAGUACUCGCUAUGCGCUGGUACGCCUCUCCUCGAAACCACAUGAUCCGCAAGGAUGUAGUCCACAUCUUUGUCGAACGCGGUGACAACGGCAGUUGGCGCGCCCCUUGAUUCUCCACGACUUGGAUCUUCCACAUCUCGGUGGUAUGGCUUGAGAAGGCUCACAUGGAAGACCGGAUGGAUCUUGAGUCUUGGCGGAAGUUGAAGUUGAUACGAGACGUUGCCCACACGUCGUACAACUCGGAAGGGUCCCUUGUAGCGCCUCACUAACCCCUUGUGGACUUUCCGCAACGUCUUGAAUUGUUGGGGUAGGAGCUUGAUCAUGACUUGAUCACCUUCUUUGUACUCCACAUGCCGUCUCCUUGUAUCUGCCCAUUUCUUCAUUUUCCUUGCGGCUUUAUCGAGGUAGGCUCGCGUGAUGUCCGCUUCCUCGUGCCAUUCGCGGGCGAGCUUAUGUGCCGCGGGGCUCUUCCCUCCGUAAGUUGAGGCUAUGGCGUUGGGAGUCAUAGGCUGGAAUCCCAUGAUGAUUUCGAACGGACUCUUGCCCGUAGCCUCACUUCGCUGCAAGUUAUAAGAAAAUUGGACGAUGUCAAGUAACUUCGCCCAAUCCCGCUGAUGAGCGUUCACAUAAUGCCUCAAGUACAUCUCGAGGAGACCAUUGAUGCGCUCGGUCUGCCCAUCCGUUUGGGGAUGGAAGCUUGUCGAGAACUUGAGAUCGGUCCCCAACAUCUUGAAGAGCUCCGUCCAAAAACGCCCAGUGAACCGAGGGUCUCGGUCGCUCACAAUGCUCCUUGGAACUCCCCAAAGCUUCACAAUGUGCUUGACGAAUAGGCGGGCUGCCUCGUCCACUUUGCAAUCGACUGGUGCGGCAAUGAAUGUGGCGUACUUGCUGUAUCGGUCGACAACGACCAUGAUGCUUUCGCUACGUUGUGUUUGAAAGUAGCUCGUCGCUACGUUGUCCGUCAUAAUCGUGAAGUGAGAGCCGAGCAAGUAGUGUCGCCACACCCGCAAGCAAUGUAUUAUUGCAGUCAUCUCCUUCUCUUGCACCAUGUAGCGGCGUUCCGUAUCGUUUAGCCUUCGACUCUCGAACGCUAUGGGGUGGCCUUCUUGCAUGAUCACUCCACCUAUGGCGAAAUCCGAGGCAUCCGUUUGAACUUCGAAGGGUUUAGUGUGGUCCGGAAGAGCGAGGACUGGUUCCUCCGAAAUUGCCUUCUUCAAUUCCUCAAAUGCGCAUUGGCACUCUUCGGACCAAUGCUACGUUAUGUUUUUCUUAAGCAAAUCCGUCAAGGGGGCCCCUUUGGCUGAAUAGCUCUUGAUGAAACGGCGGUAGUAAUUCACCAGCCCAAGGAAUGAGCGAAGCUCAGGCACUUUCGAGGGAGGCUCCCAUUCGAGGAUGGCCUUCACUUUAGCAUUCUCCAUCAUGAGCUUCCCGCCCGCAAUCUUGUGGCCAAGGAACUCCACUUCUUGUUGGGAAAACGAGCACUUCUCCAACUUGAGGAAGAGCUCGUUGUCUCGGAGUACUUGGAGGACUUGUCGCAAGUGUUGGGCAUGCUCCUCGAGUGUGGUGCUAUACACCACGAUGUCAUCCAAGUACACGACCACAAAGUGGUCGAGGAAUGGUUGGAGUACCUUGUUCAUGAGCGUGCAAAAUGUGGCGGGUGCAUUAGUAAGGCCAAAAGGCAUCACAAGGAAUUCGAAAGACCCCGUACCUUGUUGUGCACGCCGUCUUCGGUUCGUCUCCCUUGGCGAUGCACACUUGAUAGUACCCAGAGCGCAAGUCAAGUUUAGUGAAGUACCGUGCUUUGCCAAGCUGGUCGAACAAGUCCGCGAUCAAGGGAAUCAGAUACUUGUUUUUUAUGGUGAUCUUGUUGAGCGCCCUAUAGUCGAUGCACAUCCGCAGCGAUCCAUCCUUUUUUCUUUUGGAAGAGGAUCGGUGCGCCAAAUGGGGCCUUUGAGGGGCGAAUGUAGCCUGCAUCCAACAAGUCUUUGAGUUGUCUCCGCAAUUCCUCUAGUUCGGGUGGCGCCAUGCGGUAGGGCGCCAAGGCUGGUGGUUUCACGCCUUAUUCCAACUCAAUUGCAUGAUCGACCUCUCGUCGAGGUGGGAGCUUCUUCGGAAGUUCCGGAGGCAUUACGUCCUUGUACUCAUUGAGGACGGCUUGAAUUCGCGGAGGGACUUGCCUUGGCGAGAUUCCGCUAUUUCCUUCCUCGUUUAGUUCCCGAAUGGAGACCAAGAAGCUUGGGUCCUUCUUGAAAGUCCUUUUGAAUUGCAUAGCGGAGAGUGUCUUCUCCUCGGACUUGCCUCCUUCCGUGGGAACCAUGCAUGCCUUACUCCCGUCGAGGAUGCUUAGGGAGUUCGUAGCGGGCAGCCGGAAGGCAUGGACUUGGUCGAAGAAUUCCAUGCCGAGGACCAUCUUGAAGUCAUCCAUGGGGACGAUGGAGAAGUCAAGCUUUUCGCUCCACGUACUGAGUGUAAUGUGCACACCUUGUGCGAUUCCCGCAAUUGGCUUAGUGGGUGAGUUCACAGCCUUCAUCGUGCCUCCUUCCUUGGUGGCCUUGAGGCCUAAGCGCUUGGCCUCGUCUACGGACACGAAAUUGUGUGUUGCUCCCGUGUCUAGCAGCGUGCGAACGGACUGGCCGUUUAUUUUCGCGCUUACAUACAUGAGCCCUUUCUUGACAAGUGUGGGCUAUUGGCGAUUGAGUGUGCCGAGGCGUUGGAGAGAACCCAUGCUGAGUUGGGGUUCUUCCGUGGACAUUGUGGGGUUGCUCUUAAGCUGGGCUGCGAGAGCAUUAAGCGACCUCUUCUCCGGACAAGUCGCGUACCCAAUGAGGACUGUUGCAUAUGAAGCAUGGGCUUCGCGGCUUUGGCGCCUCGUUCUUGCCCUCCGAUUUUCCUUGCCCGCUCUUGUUGCUAGGCGGCUUUUUCUACCCCCAAUCUUUGCGGUUGUUGCCCUUGUCCUUGCGACUCUCUUCCCCACCUUUGCCUUGGUUGGCCUUUUUGUCCUUGGAUUGGUGAGCGAUUCCGCAACGGCGAUGGCGUCGUCAAGUGUUUGAACACCCCGCCUAUCGAGCUCGGUCUUGGCCUAAUCCUUGAGGCCAUCUUGGAAGUAGAAGAGCGAAUCCUUGUCGGACAUGUCGCUUAUCUCCAACAUAAGGGUAGUGAACUCGUUGAUGUAGUCCUGAAUGCUACUCGUUUUCUUGAGGCGACGUAAGCGCGCUCGCGCUUCCUUCUCCACAUUGCUUGGGGCGAACUGCUUUCGGAGUUCUUGCUUGAAAUCGGCCCAAGUGUCGAUGGUGCAAAUGCCCUUGCCCAUCUCGCCAUGCUUGCGACGCCACCCUAGUUGUGCAGCGCCUCGAAGAUAAGUGGGUGCUGUGCCCACUUUCGAUGCAUCAUCUCGGACACCCAUGGCAUCGAAGUAUUGAUCAAGCCCAAAUAGGAAGUUGUCCACGAUUGUGGCAUUGCGUGUGCCAUCGUAUGUGUCGGGCUUUGGCACGUCAAUGCGGCGCGCAUCACUCGUGCUUGUGGAAGCUGGACUAGCGGAGAGUGUGCACUUGUGCCAUGCCCAAUCCGAGCGGACUUCAUCCACUUCCGCACGGACAGUGCGUAGUUCAUCCUGAACAAAGCUACGAAGUUUAAGCAACUCAUCAUGAAAAGAAUGAAACUCACCUCGAAGAGUGUUCGCUUGCUCUUGGAUGAGGGCUUUCGUUGCCACCGUGAACUCGGCGUAUUCACCCUCGAGACCGUCCACUCGUUCCUCUAAUCCCUCGAGGCUGUCUUGAGCGGCGGACAAUGCGAUUUCGAGAGUAGUCACUCGAGGCUCCAACACAUCCACGGAUGGGGCCUUGGACUUGCCGCGAGUUUUGCCUUGGGCGCGUUCUCCCUCUCGGCCGCGGCUUGGUUCCGGUGGAACAUCCACACCAACAACACCCUCUUGUGCUACGUUCAAAGGGUUGGCCAUUGCUCGUGAGCUAACUUGCGUGCGUGCAAACCUUAGCUCUGAUACCACUUGUCACGGGAUGAGUGUUUUACGCAGCUAACCCGUGCGGCACUUAGACAACUUUGCCGAAUGUUGCUCAGUAAGCCUUGAGCUUCUCGAACUAGAGAAGAGAGCAAUGGAGCCGAAUAAGAAAACUUGUAUUGCACAAAAGAGAGAUUACAAGAAUGCUUGAGUUGCUUGCUCUAAGCUUGUUGUUGUUGUUUUUUUACAAAUGCCUAAUGCCAUCCCAUAUUUAUAGGGGAGGCUUGCCAAGCUCUAGGGAUUCUAGAGAAUUCUACCACUUCCUAGCUAUUUACAUGUGCUGGAAUUGUAAAGAGAAUUCUAGAGUAUUUACAAGCUCAAUGUGCUAGAGUUGCCUAGAACUUUCCGGAAUUGGGCCAAGCUAGCACUCUUGGCUUUGUCUUGGGCUCUUGGUGGGCAAAUUAGGCUAGCGAAUUGGGCGGUCCGCAACAUGCUUCCUAUCAAAAUGUUUAUGUUUGAAUGCUUCUGUGAGUUCUCUGGUAAGGGCUAUACAACUAGCUCUAACAGAUUCCUUCAUGUGCAUUAAUUAGCUUAAUAGCUUAUUGACCUAUAUCCAAUGUCUAUUCUCCUUUUCUGUAGCCGUCUAGCUUUAUGAGUGCGUGAAGUGAACUUUUGUUUUUUGUUUCAGGACUUGGGAUUAGAGUGUAUAACAUUCAAUAUCUUUAUAUCAAACAACUGAUAUAUGUUAAUGUAGUGCGAUCUGGUCUUUAUUAGCUUCUUGAUUUGCGAGGAUGUUUGACAACCAUCUUUGACUGUGUUUGCCAGCGUAUAAGCUACUACAUAUUGUGUCUGAGGAAUCACAACAAAUUAUUAUCAUAAUAUGGUGAUUUUGAAUCCAAAACUUGGUAGUGUCAAGAAAAUAGACCCAUGUUUAUUUAGCUUCACGUUUUGUAUGCGGCUGCAAUAGACUAUUAUAAGUUACUUUUAGUUUUAUCAAGUUCCCCCCCGCCCCCUUAAAUUUCAGUUAUUUCAGCAGUUUCUUUUAACUGAGUUAAUAGUGUUGUUAGGUUAAACUAAGUUUGGCUUCAUAAGCUUCAUAGUAGAGUGUAGAAUUAGGUACAAUUUUGGGUUAGACAAGUCAAAGGUCUUAUCAAGUAAUUGUCCUGCUUACUGAUUUGGUAAUUGCAACAUUGCUAAAUAGUUCAAUUUGUCCUUUUUAUUUUGUUGAAUUUAUUGUAUGUCAUAUUACUUGAUUUAAUUAUUUUCUCAGAUCUUGUAGGUGAAAAUUUGAGCUUCAAAGACCAAAGCUAAUCAUCCAGCAAUUCAGUGAAGAAACCAAGACACACGCGGCGCAUAAAAAUUGUUGUUGAUCUGCUUUAUAUAUUUUGAGCUUUGUGAUUUGUGAAUACAUGGUUUGAUUCCAGUGUUUAAAACUUUGAAAUUCAAUUAAAAGUUGAGCUGUGAAAGAGUGUGUUGUAUAACUUGAGAAGCCAAACAGGAAAUGUGUUUUUUUGUUUUUAAUCUAUCUAUCUAUUUAUUUUUUGUUUGGAAAUGUAACAAUUUAUAGCUGGCAAAGUAAUAGAGUUGUAUACUUACUUGUAUUUAAUUUAUUAUUAUUAUUAUUAUUAUUAUUAUUAUUAUUUUAAUGACUCGGUAAUGUCAUUGUCCGUGGCGUUGUCAUUUCGAAAGUACUUAACCCUUCCACGCUAAGGCACAUCACAGCAGCCGAAAUUUUGAGCUUUCAGUUCUUGAUUUAGCGUGAGGGGUAUCUUUGUCUUUUCAGUAGUCAACAAACGGUCAACAAAACAGUCUACAAGCAAUCAGGGGGGAAAUCGGAUCUUUGAGUUUUCAGUAGUCAACAAAACAGUCAACAUACAGAAUCAGUUUGAAUAUGGUUCUUGAUGGUAUCAUGGAAAAUGCGAACGAAAAGUCAGCAUCUUUGAGUUUUGUCUCAUCAUAUCCGACUUGUUGGUCCACUAAUCAAUCAACAGGCACUUGUGAUCUUGAUAGUUUGAACUUAAGGAGGCAAAGCACCAAUCCUGAAGAGCCGUUCCUUGACGCUGAGAUUGUUGUUGAGGGCAAAUCAGUGGCAGUUAAUCGCAGCAUAUUGUCUGAGCGCAGUCAAUUUUUUCAUCGGCUUUUUAAUUUGAGAAAUGAUGCUUCUGUCGGUGAGGGGAAACCCAAGUAUCUUUUGACUGAUUUGGUGCCUCAUGGGAAGGUUGGAUAUGAAGCUUUCAAUGAUACCUUGUAUUAUCUUUACUUUGGACGGGUUAAGACAUCUCCUCCAGAAGGGUCCACGUGUGUUGAUGAUGCUUGUGCUCAUGAUGCUUGCCCUCCUGCUAUUAAUUAUGCUAUUGAGUUGAUGUAUGCUUCCGCUGCUUUUCAGAUGAAAAACCGCGUUGUUUAUUUUGGGGUAAUUGUGCUUCCCUGCUAUUUGUAUUGCUUAAAUUUAUGCACAUAUAUGGGAUUGAAAUCAAUUUCAGUUGUGAAGCAACUUCGGUGGUUCCCAAUAUUAGGAAUUGUAGUAGAUCCAAAAUUAGCUUAUUAAAAAGUGUAGAUACCGUAGAGCCCAAAACUUCGUCUUAUCUUGCAAGAGUCUGUCGUUAUAUUUUGAAAGAGACAAAAGUGAUGAUGAUGGGCGGCGAACUCUAGGAAUCAAUGCUUGCUGACACUCACUCCCAUGAAUGAUAAAAACUAACCAAAAAGGUAUAGAUUACAUGAGUCUGAAUUUGAUAAGUGCACCUAUCCUAUCACAAAAAGCUUUCGCGUUGAGUUUCUAACCAAUGAAAAUUGUCACUUCUGUCUGUAGCCUUCAUAGAUUUGUUCAAGCCUUCAAGGAUGUCUAGCUGUUACUUACCGUCCAACAAUGGUGCUACAUUUCUAGUGAAUGAUAUGUUAUUCUACAUCUGUAUAUUGCAACUUUGACAAACUUCGCCUUUCCUUUGUUGCCCGAUUAUGAAAUGGUCUAUUGGAGACUAGCAUUGGAAGGUUUCUUCUGGAAAAAAUUUUACUUGACCACCAAUUUUCAUUUGGGUGGGUGUCAGUUCAUGCUCUGGCUUGACUGUUCUGUUAUUUAGGUUGUUUUAUCUGUAUUUUCUCACUCACUUGAUACUGAGUUUUCUCAUGCUUUCAAGCUCAACAGUGAAUGCGAAUACUAGAGAUUCUCUUUUUUCCCGUCCAGGCUACAACCUAGCAAAUUGUUAAUGCUGUAGAAUAACAUCUUUUGUAGGCGAGCUUAUGUCUCUGAACAUUGGUCCAUCGGCAUUUAGGUUCAAUAAGCAUGCCACUGAUUUUCCCCCUCAUUAUUAUUUUCCUGCACAGGUUAUCCCCUUUAAGUAUUUGAAUUUUGAAUAUAUUAUUCUGAAUCAAUACUCUAUCUGUCCGUGUAGCAUUUUAUAUAUGCUUUAUGAUGUUUACCAAUAAUUACCCACUAUGGGGUAUUUGAAUUCUGAAUAUAUUAUUCUGAAUCAAAACUCUAUCUGUCCGUGUAGGAUUUGUUUUGGGACAUGACUGAGGAUGCUCCUGUGGAAGAUGUAAUCCCAAUUCUCGUGGCUGCCUUCCAUUGCCAACUGAACAAGCUUCGUUUUUUCUGCAUCCAGAGAAUUGCAAGGUCAAAUCUUGACAAUGUUUGUCUCGAGAAAGAGCUUCCCGAUGAAGUUUCAAGAGAAAUCAAAUCACUCCGUGUCAAAUCUAACCAGGAGUCUGAAGCUAUUAUAGCAGAAGUGGAUCCCAUGCAUGCAAAAAUAGUCAGUAGAAUCCACAAGGCGCUGGACUCUGAUGACGUUGAACUGUUGAAGCUUCUUCUGGAUGUAUCUAAUGUCACUCUGGAUGAUGCUUACGCUCUGCACUAUGCUGCUGCCUACUGCAACCCUAAGGUUUUUAAGGAAGUGCUCAAUAUGGGCUUGGCUGACCUCAAUCUUAGGGAUGCAAGAGGACGUACGGUGCUUCAUGUGGCUGCAAGGCGUAAUGAGCCAGAAGUGAUGGUGACUCUGCUGAGCAAGGGAGCAUGCGCAUCAGAAACUACAUCAGAUGGGCAAACCGCUGUAGCAAUCUGUCGGAGAAUGACAAGGCGAAAGGAUUAUCUUGAAGCUACAAAGCAGGGGCAGGGAACUAACAAAGACCGGUUAUGCAUUGAUGUCCUUGAGAGAGAGAUGAGAAGGAACUCCAUGUCUGAGAACUUGGCAAUGUCAUCAGAGGUGAUGGAUGAUGAUUUCCAAAGGAAGCUGGACUAUCUGGAAAAUAGAGGUGAUAAUUUCUUUACUGGUAUUAGUUCAUCACCUUCUCAGAGUUUGUGCAUAGCACACUUCUUUCUACUGUUUGUUUGUCCAUUCAUCUGGAAAAUAGAGGUGAUAUUCCUUUGCUGGUAUUAGUAAAUCAUCUUCUCAGAGUUUGUGAGUCCCUUCAUCUUAGGAUCUCAAACACACAUGGGCUCAUUGCUUGGAGCACACUGUUGGCCAGUCGUGUGAUUUGAUCCCUUUUUUGGAAUAGACAACUCUGAAUCCAUCUGAUCUAGGCUUGGCGGUUUGCACUGAACUGGUUUUUGAUGAAUAAUUGCACAAGACUUUGUCAUCAAAACUUUUAUUUUUUGGUUUUUUUGCCCCAAAAGUAAUGAGGUACAAAAAAAAUCUAUGCCUAUCCUGGAUGACUGCCAUAACAGCUUCUUAAUAUUUUGCAGUGGCUUUUGUACGGUUGUUUCCUUCUGAAGCUAGAGUAGCUAUGGAAAUAGCAGGUGCAGAUACCGCCACUGGCCUUUCAGCAUUAGGUCAGAAAGGACUAAGUGGGAACUUAAAGGAGAUUGAUUUGAAUGAAACGCCCUCUAUGCAAGCCAAGAGACGCCAAUUGAGACUGCUAACUCUGCUUAAAACAGGUAUUUAUAUACUUUAUUAACUUUUGCACCUUUCUAUUUACUGAUUAUCUUUAUAAUUAACUAAUACAUGUAUCCAGGUUUCUCCUUCCAUUUCUAAAAGGUUUCUCCUUCCAUUUCAUUAGAAGUAAAUUGGAAUUUCUUUAUAGUGCUCUGUUAGGUGUAAUCAGAUGUAUCAAAAGAGAAAGGGUAAUUGUUAGUACAUUGAUAUCUCAACAAAAUGGUAGAACCUUUCUUUAUACCAGUAAGACAUUUGUUGCAGGUAUGCCUACAUAAUCAGUGUCCUUCAAAACUUUCAAGGAGUUAGCAAUGCCUAACCCCUGAAACACUAAAUCUCACGGGAUCAACUCUUUACCUCUAGACCGAAGGUGUGACACCCAGACCCAAUUAGGGCUUAGAACACAUAUCGAAUCUGAGUGAAACUAAAUGCCUGUAAAUCCAAAUCUCCAAAAUAUCAUAAAGUCAUCUACUUUCUCUUUUCAUGUAUUUCACAAAAUUUUGAAAAAUUCAUUCUCAAUCAUAAACUAUGCACAGCUAAUUAUUCAGCAUAUCAGUAUAGAGCAAUACUUCCUCAUAAGCAAAUAAAUCUUACAAUCCUUCUUAAAUGAUUUGAAAAAAAUACUAAUAGAAGUCUUCUAGAUACAAACAUAAACAGAAUUCAACUGUUUAAAACUAUGCCAAAACACAAGCUUCAAUCAGUAAUGCAUACGACUAAUUAUUAAAAACAUCUAGCCAGAAACCUUACGAAAGCUCAAUCCUUUCGAAGCAUUCUUCAAAUUAAUAAUUGCUACCAUCUGUGAAAAAUAAUUGACAAGGAGUCACCUGUGAACUCAAUCAGUAGAAACAUUCGUAACGAACAAAAAGAAUUCUUUGUGCAAUAUUUUCAGAAAAUUCAUUUAACCUUUCAAAUGAAACAGAGUAAUUUUUCUAACGCAGUCAGGAUUUAUAUAAAACACAAACGUUUCAGACAAAAGCUGUGUGGAAUGUAAAUUUUGUUUCUUUAAACAGAAAGUUAUAUAUUAGUUUGAUUUUAAAGGGAGGUUAUUGGGAAGUUAAAAUUGGCAGUUGCGGGAAAAGGGUAAUAGCAGUUAUAAAAUCUCUUUUAAAGCAAAUUCAAAUCAAGUUUCAAAUUUUAGGAGUACUUAAUUCAAUAAAAUAAGGAAUAAAUAAAGCUUUCAUUGAAAUAAAACUAAGUAAAUUCAUUUAAAGCAAAAAAGGAUGGGAGCAUUACUAUGGGUUCUUAUGUUUACCCGCAGUCAGACAUCUGGGACCUUGUUAUUUGGAGACAAGACUUGAUUGUGCCAUGUUUUCCGCAGCUAGACAUCUGUGGAUAAGAGAACCCUAAGCGUAUUGAGAAUAAAUUCCAUAAUCCAAGUCUCUUCAGUUCUUUCAUUUGUGGCUAAUUAGUUAUAAAAUUUGUGAAUUUCAUGCCCCAUGCCCCUUGCAAAAAUGUAUUUUAUAUCCUUAAGAUGCCAGUUGUUGAACUGAAAUAAUAAAAAAUGGAAAACAGACUUAAUGCCGAUAGCAUUUCUUAAGAAAAACUUGGGAUGUUUAUAAGUUUCUUAGAGCAUUUGCUGAACUUUCUGUGAUGGCAGUCGAGACGGGUGACCGCUACUUCCCUCAUUGCUCAGAAGUGGUUGAUCGCUUUUUGGAUUUGAACAAUCCUUCCACCCCAGAAAUGGACGACGAGAAACUUAAAGUAGACGUGCAGGAGGCAUUCUGCAAGGACGUGGCUUAUCACCGUCGUUUAGGGCUGCCAUCAUCCUGGCCGGCAUUUUACCAGUACAUGGCUAGGAGCAAUCAGUCGGCAUUUUACAAGUACGUGGCUGAGAGCAAUGGUUCACGAAUGUCGACAUCCUGGGCAGCGAGCAAUUAAGCAUCACCUUUCCCUAAAAGUUAUAUUUGACACCUGGAAAACUAAAGUAGUUGAGUGAGCUCGAUUGGUAUUUGUAGUUUCUUUUUUUUUUACUCAAGUGAUCUGGCAUAAUUAAAAGUUAUUUGUUUGUCUUCAAAGUUAUUGUAUUGUCUCAAGUCCGG
rnacentral:lncRNA from 1 species